GCUUAAGUGAUGUGCAUUACCGGGUGGGCCCAGAGAUACCUCUCCGACAAUCGGAGUGACAAAUCCUAAUCUCGAAAUACGCCAACCCAACAUGUACCUUUGGAGACACCUGUAAUGCUCCUUUAUAAUCACCCAGUUAUGUUGUGACGUUUGGUAGCACCCAAAGUGUUCCUCCAGCAAACGGGAGUUGCAUAAUCUCAUAGUCAUAGGAACAUGUAGAAGUCAUGAAGAAAGCAAUAGCAAUAUACUAAACGAUCAAGUGCUAAGCUAGUGGAAUGGGUCAAGUCAAUCACAUCAUUCUCCUAAUGAUGUGAUCCCAUUAAUCAAAUGACAACUCAUGUCUAUGGUCAGGAAACAUAACCAUCUUUGAUCAACGAGCUAGUCAAGUAGAGGCAUACUAGUGACAUUCUGUUUGUCUAUGUAUUCACACAUGUAUUAUGUUUCUGGUUAAUACAAUUCUAGCAUGAAUAAUAAACAUUUAUCAUGAGAAUAAGGAAAUAAAUAAUAACUUUAUUAUUGCCUCUAGGGCAUAUUUCCUUCAGUCUCCCACUUGCACUAGAGUCAAUAAUCUAGUUCACAUCACCAUGUGAUUUAACAUCGAUAGUUCAUAUCAUCAUGUGAUUAACACCCAUAGUUCACAUCGUCAUGUGACCAACACCCAAAGGGUUUACUAGAGUCAGCAAUCUAGUUCACAUCGCUAUGUGAUUAACACCCAAAGAGUACUAAGGUGUGAUCAUGUUUUGCUUGUGAGAUAAUUUUAGUCAAUGGGUCUGACACAUUCAUAUCCGUAUGUAUUUUGCAAAUUUCUAUGUCAACAAUGCUCUUGCACGGCGCUACUCUAGCUAAUUGCUCCCACUUUCAAUAUCUAUCUAGAUCGAGACUUAGAGUCAUCCAGAUCUGUAUCAAAACUUGCAUCGACGUAAUUCUUUAUGACGAACCUUUUGUCACCUCCAUAAUCGAGAAACAUAUCCUUAUUUCACUAAGGAUAAUUUUGACCGCUGUCCAGUGAUCUACUCCUAGAUCACUAUUGUACUCCCUUGCCAAAAUCAGUGUAGGGUAUACAAUAGAUCUGGUACACAGCAUGGCAUAAUUUAUAGAACCUAUGGCCGAGGCAUAGGGAAUGACUUUCAUUCUCUUUCUAUCUUCUGCCGUGGUCGGGCUUUGAGUCUUACUCAAUUUCACACCUUAUAACACAGGCAAGAACUCUUUCUUUGACUGUUCCAUUUUGAACUACUUCAAAAUCAUGUCAAGGUAUGUACUCAUUGAAAAAAAAACUUAUCAAGCGUCUUGAUCUAUCUCUAUAGAUCUUGAUGCUCAAUAUGUAAGCAGCUUUACCGAGGUCUUUCUUUGAAAAACUCCUUUCAAACACACCUUUAUGCUUUGCAGAAUAAUUCUACAUUAUUUCCGAUCAACAAUAUGUCAUACACAUAUACUUAUCAGAAAUGCUGUAGUGCUCCCACUCACUUUCUUGUAAAUACAGGCUUCACUGCAAGUCUGUAUAAAACUAUAUGCUUUGAUCAACUCAUCAAAGCGUAUAUUCCAACUCCGAGAUGCUUGCACCAGUCCAUUGAUGGAUCGCUGGAGCUUGCACACUUUGUUAGCAACUUUAGGAUCAACUAAACCUUCUGGUUGUAUCAUAUACAACUCUUCUUAAAUAAAUCCCUUAAGGAAUGCAGGUUCGACAUCCAUUUGCCAAAUUUCAUAAAAUGUGGCAAUUGCUAACAUGAUUCGGACAGACUUAAGCUUCAAUACGAGUGAGAAAAUCUCAUCGUAUUCAACUCUUUGAACUUUGUCGAAAACUUUUUGCGACAAUUCGAGCUUUGUAGAUAGUAACACUACUAUCAGCGUCUGUCUUCCUCUUGAAGAUCCAUUAGUUCUCUAUGGCUUGCCGAUCAUCGGGCAAGUCCACCAAAGUCCAUACUUUGUUCUCAUACAUGGAUCCUAUCUCAGAUUUCAUGGCCUCAAGCCAUUUUGCGGAAUCUGGGCUCAUCAUCGCUUCCUCAUAGUUCGUAGGUUCGUCAUGGUCAAGUAACAUGACCUCCAGAAUAGGAUUACCGACCCACUUUGGUGCGGAUCUUACUCUGGUUGACCUACAAGGUUUUUGUAGUAACUUGAUCUGAAUUUUCAUGAUCAUCAUCAUUAGCUUCCUCACUGAUUGGUGUAGACAUCACUGGAACUGAUCUCUGUGAUGAACUUCUUUCCAAUUCAAGAGAAGGUACAACUACCUUAUCAAGUUUCUACUUUCCUCCCACUCACUUCUUUCGAGAGAAACUCCUUCUCUAGAAAGGAUCCAUUAUAAGCAACGAAUGUCUUGCCUUAGGAUCUGUGAUAGAAGGUGUACCCAAACAUUUCCUUUGGGUAUCUAUGAAGACGCACUUCUCCGAUUUGGGUUUGAGCUUAUCAGGAUGAAACUUUUCACAUAAGCAUCGCAGCCCCAAACUUUAAGAAACGAUAGCUUAGGUUUCUUGUGAAACCAUAGUUCAUACGGUGUCAUCUCAACGGAUUUAGAUGGUGCCCUAUUUAAUGUGAAUGCAGCUGUCUCUAAUGCAUAAUCCCAAAAAGAUAGUGGUAAAUCAGUAAGAGACAUCAUAGAUCGCACUAUAUCUAAUAAAGUGCGUUUAUGACGUUCGGACACACCAUUAUGCUAUGGUGUUCCAGGUGGCAUGAGUUUGUGAAAAUAUUCCACAUUGUUUUAAUUGAAGGCCAAACUCGUAACUCAAAUAUUUGUCUCUACGAUCAGAUUGUAGAAACUUAAUUUUCUUGUUACGAUGAUUCUUCACUUCACUAUGAAAUUCUUUGAACGUUUCAACUGUUUCAGACUUGUGUUUCAUUAAGUAGAUAUACCUAUAUCUGCUCAAAUCAUCUGUGAAGUUCAGAAAAUAACGAUACUUGCCACGAGCCUCAACACUCAUUGGACCACAUACAUCAGUAUGUAUUAUUUCCAAUAAGUCAGUUGCUUGCUCCAUUGUUCUGGAGAAUGGUGUCUUAGUCAUCUUGCCCAUGAGGCAUGGUUCGCAAGCAUCAAGUUAUUCAUAAUCAAGUGAUUCCAAAAGCCCAUCAGCAUGGAGUUUCUUCAUGCGUUUUACACCAAUAUGACUUAAACGGCAGUGCCACAAAUCUGUUGCACUAUCAUUAUCAACUUUGCAUCUUUUGGCAUCAAUAUUAUGUGCAUCACUGUGAUCGAGAUUCAGUAAACCAUUUACAUUGGAUGUAUGACCAUAAAAGGCUUUAUUCAUGUAAACAGAACAACAAUUAUUCUCUGACUUAAAUGAAUAAUCGUAUUGCAAUAAACAUGAUCGAAUCAUAUUUAUGCUCAACGCAAACACCAAAUAACAUUUAUUUAGUUCCAAUAUUAAUCCCAAAGGUUGAGGGAGUAUGCGAUGGUGAUCUUAUCAACCUUGGAAACAUUUCCAACACACAUCAUCGCUUCGCCCAUAACUAGUCUCUGUUUAUUUUGCAACUCCCGUUUCGAGUUACUACACUUAGCAACUGAACUAGUAUCAAAUACUGAGGGGUUGCUAUAAACACUAGUAAAUUACACAUCAAUAAUAUGUAUAUCAAAUAUACUUUUGUUCACUUUGCCAUCCUUCUUAUCCACCAAUUAUUUGGGGUAGUUACGUUUCUAGUGACCAGUCCUUUUGCAGUAGAAGCACUUAGUCUCAGGCUUAGGUCCAGACUUGGGUUUCUUCACUUGAGCAGCAACUUGCUUGCCGUUCUUCUUGAAGUUCCUCUUCCUUCCCUUUGCCCCUUUUCUUGAAACUAGUGAUCUUUGUCAAACAUCAACACUUGAUGUUUUUCUUGGUUUCUACCUUCGCCGAUUUUAGCAUCGCGAAGAGCUUGGGAAUUGUUUUCGUCAUCCCUUGCAUACUAUAGUUCAUCACAAAGUUCUACUAACUUGGUGAUGGUGACUAGAGAAUUCUAUCAAUCGCUAUUUUAUCUGGAAGAUUAACUCCCACUUGAUUCAAGCGAUUGUAGUACCCAGACAAUCUGAGCACAUGCUCACUGCUUGAGCUAUUCUCCUCCAUCUUUUAGCUAUAGAACUUGUUGGAGACUUCAUAUCUCUCAACUCAGGUAUUUGCUUGAAAUAUUAACUUCAACUCCUAGAACAUCUCAUAUGGUCCAUGACGUUCAAAACGUCUUUGAAGUCCCGAUUCUAAGCUGUUAAGCAUGGUGCACGAAACUAUCAAGUAGUCAUCAUACCGAGCUUUGCCAAACGUUCAUAACGUCUGCAUCUGCUCCUGCAAUAGGUCUGUCACCUAGCGGUGCAUCAAGGACAUAAUUCUUCUGUGCAGCAUUGAGGAUAAUCCUCAGAUCACGGAUCCAAUCCGCAUCAUUGCUACUAACAUCUUUCAACAUAAUUUUUCUCUAGGAACAUAUCAAAAUAAACAUAGGGAAGCAACAAUGCGAGCUAUUGAUCUACAACAUAAUUAUGCAAAUACUAUCAGGACUAAGUUCAUGAUAAAUUAAAGUUUGAUUAAUCGUAUUAUUUAAGAACUCCCACUUAGAUAGACAUCCCUCUAAUCCUCUAAGUGAUCACGUGAUCCAUAUCAACUAAACCAUAAUCGAUCAUCACGUGAAAUGGAGUAGCUUUCAAUGGUGAACAUCAAUAUGUUGAUCAUAUCUACUAUAUGAUUCAUGCUCGACCUUUCGAUCUUCGUGUUUCGAGGCCAUAUCUGCAUAUGCUAGGCUCGCCAAGUUUAACCUGAGUAUUCCGCGUGUGCAAAACUGGCUUGCACCCGUUGUAGAUGGACGUAGAGCUUAUCACACCCGAUCAUCACGUGGUGUCUGGGCACGAUAAACUUUGGCAAUGGUGCAUACUCAGGGAGAACACUUCUUGAUAAUUAGUGAGAGAUCAUCUUAUAAAGCUACCGUCGAACUAAGCAUGAUAAGAUGUAUGAAAGAUAAACAUCAUAUGCAAUCAAAAUAUGUGACUUGAUAUGGCCAUCAUCAUCUUGUGCCUUUGAUCUCCAUCUCCAAAGCAUUGUCAUGAUUUCCAUCAUCACCGGCAUGACACCAUGAUCUCCAUCAUCUUGAUCUAUAUCAAUGUGUCGUCACAUGGUCGUCUCGCCAACUAUUGCUCUUGCAACUAUUUCUAUCGCAUAGCGAUAAAGUAAAGCAAUUAUUUGGCGCUUGCAUCUUAUGCAAUAGAGAGACAACCAUAAGGCUUUUGCCAGUUGCCGAUAACUUCAACAAAACAUGAUCAUCUCAUACAACAACUUAUAUCUCAUCCCGUCUUGACCAUAUCACAUCACAACAUGCCCUGCAAAAACAAGUUAGACGUCCUCUACUUUGUUGUUGCAAGUUUUACGUGGCUGCUACGGGCUUAGCAAGAACCGUUCUUACCUACACAUCAAAAACCACAACGAUAGUUUGUCAAGUUGGUGCUGUUUUAACCUUCGCAAGGACCGGGCGUAGCCACACUCGGUUCAACUAAAGUGAGAGAGACAGACACCCGCCAGUCACCUUUAAGCAACAAGUGCUCGUAACGGUGAAACCAGUCUCGCGUAAGCGUACGCGUAAUGUCGGUCCGGGCCGCUUCAUCUCACAAUACUGCUGAACCAAAGUAUGACAUGCUGGUAAGCAUUAUGACUUAUAUCACCCACAACUCACUUGUGUUCUACUCGUGCACAACAUCAACGCAUAAAACCAGGCUCGGAUGCCACUGUUGGGAAACGUAGUAAUUUCAAAAAAUUUCCUAUGCACACGCAAGAUCAUGGUGAUGCAUAGCAACGAGAGGGGAGAGUGUUGUCUACAUACCCUCGUAGACCGGCAACGGAAGCGUUGACACAACAUAGAGGAAGUAGUCGUACGUCUUCUCAAUCCGACCGAUCCAAGCACCGAACGUACGGCGACUCCGAGUUCUGCACACGUUCAGCUCGAUGACGUCCCUCGAACCCCGAUCCAGCCGAGUGUUGAGGGAGAGUUUCGUUAGCACGACGGCAUGGUGACGAUGAUGAUGUUCUACCGACGCAGGGCUUCGCCUAAGCACCGCUACGAUAUGAUCGAGGUGGAAUAUGCUGGAGGGGGGCACCGCACACGGCUAAGGAACGAUCACGAAGAUCAACUUGUGUGUUCUAGGGUGCCCCCUUGCCCCCGUAUAUAAAGGAGGGAGGGGGAGGCCGGCCGGCCCUCUAGGCGCGCCACCAAGAGGGGAAUCCUACUAGGACUCCAAGUCCUAGUAGAUUUCCACCUAAAGGAAGAUAGGGGGAAGGAAGGAGAGGGAGAGGGAGAAGGAAAGGGGGGCGCCGCCCCCCUUCUCCUAGUCCAAUUCAGACCAGAGGGGAGGGGGCGCGCGGCCCCUCCUGGCCGGCCCCUCUCUCUCUCCACUAAAGCCCAAUAAGGCCCAAUACUUCCCGGGGGGUUCCGGUAACCCCUCCGGCACUCCGGUUUUAUCCGAAACUUCUCCGGAACACUUUCGGUGUCCGAAUAUAGUCGUCCAAUAUAUCAACCUUUAUGUCUCGAACAUUUCGAGACUCCUCGUCAUGUCCGUGAUCACAUCCGGGACUCUGAACAACCUUCGGUACAUCAAAACAUAUAAACUCAUAAUAAAACUGUCAUCGUAACGUUAAGUGUGCGGACCCUACGGGUUCGAGAACAAUGUAGACAUGACCGAGACACGUCUCCGGUCAAUAACCAAUAGCGGGACCUGGAUGCCCAUAAUGGCUCCUACAUAUUCUACGAAGAUCUUUAUCGGUCAGACCGCAUAACAACAUACGUUGUUCCCUUUGUCAUCGGUAUGUUACUUACCCGAGAUUCGAUUGUCGGUAUACCAAUACCUAGUUCAAUCUCGUUACCAGCAAGUCUCUUGACUCGUUCUGUAAUACAUCAUCUCACAACCAACUCAUUAGUUGCAGUGCUUGCAAGGCCUAAGUGAUGUGCAUUACCGAGAGGGCCCAGAGAUACCUCUCCGACAAUCGGAGUGACAAAUCCUAAUCUCGAAAUACGCCAGCCCAACAUGUACCUUUGGAGACACCUGUAAUGCUCCUUUAUAAUCACCCAGUUAUGUUGUGACGUUUGGUAGCACCCAAAGUGUUCCUCCAGCAAACGGGAGUUGCAUAAUCUCAUAGUCAUAGGAACAUGUAGAAGUCAUGAAGAAAGCAAUAGCAAUAUACUAAACGAUCAACUGCUAAGCUAUUGGAAUGGGUCAAGUCAAUCACAUCAUUCUCCUAAUGAUGUGAUCCCAUUAAUCAAAUGACAACUCAUGUCUAUGGUCAGGAAACAUAACCAUCUUUGAUCAACGAGCUAGUCAAGUAGAGGCAUGCUAGUGACAUUCUGUUUGUCUAUGUAUUCACACAUGUAUUAUGUUUCCGGUUAAUACAAUUCUAGCAUGAAUAAUAAACAUUUAUCAUGAGAAUAAGGAAAUAAAUAAUAACUUUAUUAUUGCCUCUAGGGCAUAUUUCCUUCACAAUAUCCUGUCAAGGGUGGAUGGUCCGUCUUGGUUUUCCUUCAGUGGCUUCUUCCGUUGACCGGGUUUCGGAUUGUUAAAUCCGGCGUUGACCGCUGUGUCGCGUGAUCUUUCAUUGUUAUUGCAACUGGUGUGUUCGGUUCGUCGUGGCUUGCCGUUGCCGUCUCAGAUUUCGAAAGUGCCCGGGUCGCUGGCGUUGUUGCUUUUACGAGCGAGCCAAUUGUCUUCUCCUGCACAAAAGCGAAUCAUUAGAGCGGUAAGGGCUGUCAUGGAUUUGGGUCCUUCCUGGCCGAGGUGACGUGCUAGCCAUUCAUCCCGGGUGCUAUGUUUGAAGGCCGCAAGGGCUUCCGCAUCCGGGCAGUCGACAGUUUGGUCUUUUUGACUAAGAACCUAGUCCAGAGCUCCCUGGCUGACUCAUCGGGCUGCUGGACAAUAUGACUUAAGUCAUCGGCAUCCUGUGGCCGGACAUAUGUUCCUUGGAAGUUGUCUCGAAAGGCGUCUUCCAAAUCUUCCCAGCUGCCAAUAAAAUUUUCUGGCAGACUGUUUAGCCAGUACCGCGCUGGCCCUUUGAGCUUGAGAGGUAGGUAUCUAAUGGCAUGAAGGUCAUCUCCGCGACCCAUGUGAAUAUGAAGGAGGAAAUCCUCAAUCCAUACCGCAGGAUAUGUUGUUCCAUCAUAUGAUUCGAUGUUAAUGGGUUUGAACCCGUUUGGAAAUUCAUGCUCCAUUACCUCGUCAGUGAAGCAGAGAGGGUGUGCGGCUCCUUUAUGUUGGGCCCACGCUGUGAAGCACCUCCGGUGGAUUCCGUUUGCGGUUUUCAGACCGGACGUGGUCGGGUCUGUUGUGUCUGAAUAGGUAGCCAUCAUUGGCGGGCGCGGCACGUCUCCGCGAUCUGUACAUUGAUCUUGUGUGUCCUGCUCUGCCAUCCAGGUCUUGUUGGAUGUCGUGGGUAUUCCCCCGAACUGCUUUGUUUUUGAUUUGACGGCCGGGUGGGGUGGUAUGGUGUUCUGCUUGGGCUGCUACUUUAUCCGGACUGAACUGUGGUUGGCCUACCGCAUUAUGCGAUGGUGGUGCGGGCUCUAGCACCUCGCCAUCGUAUUGUGGGAGCCACCUACACUUGGGGUGGCUUUUGUCUGGCUGCUAAGGCCGUAUUCUUCGGUGGCCAGGACCUUGGUCCAUCUACCAUUGAGAAAAUCUUGGCUCGCUUGAAGUUGCAGCUGCUUCUUUCUUAGGCUCCUUGUAGUGGCUAUUAGCCGGCGUUUAAAGUGCUCCUGCUCGAGAGGUUCCUCAGGCAUGGUGAAAUCCUCGUUGCUGAGGCUCUCCUCUUCCUUGGAGAGUGGAAGAUAAUUACUAUCCUCCGAGUCUCCAUAUACGGCCUGUUCAUCAGGGCUAUCUUGCCCGCUUUCCUGUUCCUCCUGUUCGGAUCCUACCUCAACAGGGUCUUCAUUUUCCGGAGUGUUGUCUUCUCUGGUGCUAGUAUUGUUUUCUCUUGAGCGACGUGGCUUAGAGCGGCGCCGGGGGCGCCGGUGUUCGGACUGUGUCCCAGGAGGCUUAUCCUCAACUGGAUCCUCCUUGUCAUUGUCGAGAGCGUCGUUGGGUGUGCCUACCAUACACACGUCAUACCAGGAGGUGGCCGUCCCGCGUCUAGUGGAUGGUGAGUUCUAGCCUUGCCCCUCAUCGUCGUCCAUACCGUCGAUGUCUUUGGAGCCGGGGUCAAGCGUGUUGGUUGGGUCUUCGACAGUGGCUAUGAAGUGAGUGGCGGGUGGGAAGCAAGAUUCUCCAUCUUCCGCCGCAUGUUCGAACCGGACAUAGUUCGGCGGCCAAGGAUAGGUUUUUUAGUGAGUUCAGUACGUCGCCAUGGGCGAGUGUUGGAAGACGUCUACGGCGCUGAACUUGAAGAUCGAUAACCGAUUGAGUUCGUUAUCCGUGUACUCGCAGGGUUCGGAACUUAUCGCCGGAGACGAGUUCGGGGUUCCGUUGAUGCAGAUAUCAUAUGAAGUAGAGUCUGUGUGCGGCUCCAACACCGCGGAAUCGGCAGCCUCCGUGAUGGGGUUGAGCUUCCCAUCUUCGGAUGACUUGAUCUGCUCCAGAUCUAAGGCCAGAGUUGUUACAGGAGCUAUCUCCUAGAUGCAGCCCGAUGACAGGUUUAAGCCAUGCUUAUCGGGGCAAAGGGGAGUGGUUGCCGCGGUCUCAAAUCCGUCGAAGAUCGAGUCUCCACGGAUGUCCGCGACGUAGUUCAAGCUUCUGAAUCUAACCUGAAGGCCAGGGGCGUAGCUGUCGAUCUGCUCCAGAUGGCCAAGCGAGUUGGCCCGCAGUACGAAGCCGCCGAAUACGAAGAUCUGUCUGGGGAGGAAGGCUUCUCCCUAGACAACGUCAUUAUAGACGAUCGAAGGGGCCAUCGGACCCUUUGCCGACGGCACAGUGGAACUCUCAAUGAAAGCACCAAUGUCGGUGUCAAAACCGGCGGAUCUCGGGUAGGGGGUCCCGAACUGUGCGUCUAAGGUCGAUGGUAACAGGAGAUGGGGGACAUGAUGUCUACCCAGGUUCGGGCCCUCUCUAUGGAGGUAAUACCCUACUUCCUGCUUCAUUGAUCUUGAUGAAUAUGAGUAUUACAAGAGUUGAUCUACCACGAGAUCGUAAUGGCUAAACCCUAGAGGCCUAGCCUGUAUGACUAUGAUAAUGAGUAUCCGCCUAUCCGGACUACGCUCUCCGGUUUAUAUAGACACAGGAGAGAUCUAGGGUUACGUGGAGUUGGUUACAUAAAAAGGAAUCUACAUGAUUGAUCGCCAAGCUUGUCUUCCACGCUAUCUUCGGUCUUUGUAUCUUCACAGCCAUCAGUCCGGCCCAUGGCUAACAGGCCGGCCGCCCGAGGACCCCUUAGUCCAGGACUCCCUCACCCACCCCAUGGGGUGCGCCUCCCUGCCUCGUGGCCUCCUCACUUGUUUCUUGACGUCCACUCCAAGUCCCCUGGAUCACGUUUGUUCCAAAAAUCACGCUCCCGGAGGUUUCAUUCCGUUUGGACUUCGUUUGAUAUUCCUUUUCUGCGAAACACUGAAAUAGGCAAAAAAAACGACAAUUUGGGCUGGGCCUCCGGUUAAUAGGUUAGUCCCAAAAAUAAUAUAAAAGUGUAUAAAUAAGUCCAUUAAACAUCCAAAACAGAUAAUAUAAUAGCAUGGAACAAUAAAAAAUUAUAGAUACGUUGGAGACGUAUCAGAGGCAAAUAAGGCCCAGCGAGACAGAUAGACAGAGAGAAUGGAGCUAGGAGGUGGUGCGAGAGGCCGAGCUACUAGCUAGAUAGGGGGAGGAGUGUGCGGUUGUGAGAUCGAUGAAAAGAGGGGAGAGAGUUUACACGUGUGUGGGACCGUAUGAGAGACACGAGGCAUGGACACAGAAAGGAGGAGAUGGAAGGUGCGUGUGUAUGUUGUAGGCAGACAUCGCCGGAGAUGUUUAUCGAUCCGUGUGUGUCGGAAAGGAGUUGUGGAGACUGUGGGAGAACGACCUAAAGAAGAAAAAAAAUGUGCGCGAUGGAUGGAAUGCUGAGGGAGGGGGAGGGCGAGGAGGGCGUGUGUGUGCACGAGAGAAAGUUAGUGCUAGCUACAAAGGUUAGAGGAUUGUGUGGGUGUAAAAGACUAACAAAGAUCAUAAUUUGAUAUGAAAGUGGAUUCAUAUAUUUGAAUAGGAGAUCAUAGUGUUAUAAACAUAUGCAUGCAUGAAUAUAGCGGUGAUACGCGUGUUGUGGGUUUGCACAUGUUAUACCAUAAUGUGAUAAUGCAUGGCAUUUGCAACUCACAGCUAAAUGUUGAACAAUCUAAACCAUACUAUACAUCGAACAAUCUCACAUUUUAUUUGAAUUUGUGAUAAUGUGUGGUGUUUGUAGCUUACAACUAAAUAUCGAACAAUCUAAACAAUACUAUAUAUAUCGAACAAUCUCACAUUUUAUUUGAAUUUGUGGUAAUGUGUGGUGUUUGCAACUCACAUCUAAAUACUUGUAGGCGUAGGGGGCGGGGCACCAUACAUUAUGUGAUAAACACAUUAUACAUAUGAGACAUGGUUUAGAUUAUGAAGAUCUAGCUAGAGCUUGAAAUGUACUGUGAUUUGAAAACAGCAUAAAGUGGAUUCAAAAAAUUGUGUUCGAGUUCAUAUAGUACACAUAGUUCAUAUCUAACUCGAGAGUAAUCAUGUGGUGUGCUGUGAAGAUAAUACACGAACGAUGGUUUAACUUGACAAUAAUGAUGAUUGUAUAUCUUAUUAAAAUAGAGAAACAAAUUCAAAUGGGUUGACUUCACAGCAAUCAUUAUUGUAGAUCUUAUUCAAAUAGAGAAACAAAUUCAAAUUUAGUUCAUAUUUAAGCGGUAGUAUAUACCUUUGGAAUGCACUAAAACGUUCAUUUGAGUAGCAAGUUGCAUGCAUUAUACACGUAGCGAAGUAUUUUAAUUGAACAUAACAUGAAUUCAAAGUUUUGAAUGACAUUUUGUAGUGCGAAUUGAUUUGGUACAGUACACAGGACUAGACUCUCUUGUGUGCUGCGAAUUGAUUUUUUUUGUUUUUUCGUCGACGGAAGUGCGAAUUGAUUUGGUACAGUACACAUUAGGCUUGUCCGGAAAUUUCAACCCGCGCCUUGUUACCCCGAAAUAUUUAAGAUAUAUCUUUGUCUCGUUGUGCUCCGACAACUCCCUCCAUCUCAACCCGCGCCUUGCUAUUCCAAAAUUACAACACGCGCGAAAACUCCCACCUCCUGUGAAAUCCUGACACGCGAAAUGCCCGUGAUACCCCUGAACCGAAAGAACCGCCUAGGUCAAAUCGGUGGGGGUACUUUCAUAACUUACCCCACAUUUCGGACAAGCGCGUCCCUAAGCCAUGGUUCCCCACUCCCAUCCCAUCCGCCCACCCAUUCGUACACCGAGGCCGCGAAAACCCGCGAAGCCCCACACCCUCCUCCAUCCGCAACCCAACCGGAGCCUCUUCCCUGACGACGCCGUCCAGAUCAACACCUCAACGUCCCUCAUCCACCGUACCAGAUGAGGAUCCGUCGUCGAUCUCGUCGUCCCGCCGGUUCAGCCACCCCGUCCUCCACCUCCAAGGAGCUGCCCCGAUGUUCCCCUCGUCUUCCCCGCCACCUCCAUUCCCACACUGCCGUCUUCACCUGCACCACCGGAAGAGCAUCAUCAUCACCGUUUCCUCGGAUGAAGCUGAGGCCUAAUCGGUGCCACCAAAGAGGCUGUACACUAAUCACCACAUUUUCUUCUUGAUUCGACUCACGGUGCUGCCGGCGCUCGGUCCCGAGCCAACACGGCGUGGCUCCAUCCACGGCGACAUCGCCGGCCACUUCCUCCACGGCGUCGCUCCCUUGGCGGCGACAUCCACAUUAGUAGGAGCUGCUGCUGCUUUAGCUCUCGCUCGUGCUGCUGCUCUGCUCUUGCUCUCGGUCCCCUGCUUGGUUUGAUAUUGUUAUUGCUCUUGCUCUUGCUCUUGCUACUGCUCUCGCUCUUGCUCUUGCUUGCGAUGCUGCUCCGAUUUAGCUACACUUCAGUCGACUAAAUCGACUUUCGGGUCAGUCAAUUUUCAGGGGGUGGGGGGCUCACCGGAGUUAAGGAAUAACCAGCCGCAGCGGGGAGGGGGGCUCGCCGGAGAGGUACCGCACUAUCUAUCUUAGGGUUUAGGGUGGGGGCGNNNNNNNNNNNNNNNNNNNNNNNNNNNNNNNNNNNNNNNNNNNNNNNNNNNNNNNNNNNNNNNNNNNNNNNNNNNNNNNNNNNNNNNNNNNNNNNNNNNNNNNNNNNNNNNNNNNNNNNNNNNNNNNNNNNNNNNNNNNNNNNNNNNNNNNNNNNNNNNNNNNNNNNNNNNNNNNNNNNNNNNNNNNNNNNNNNNNNNNNNNNNNNNNNNNNNNNNNNNNNNNNNNNNNNNNNNNNNNNNNNNNNNNNNNNNNNNNNNNNNNNNNNNNNNNNNNNNNNNNNNNNNNNNNNNNNNNNNNNNNNNNNNNNNNNNNNNNNNNNNNNNNNNNNNNNNNNNNNNNNNNNNNNNNNNNNNNNNNNNNNNNNNNNNNNNNNNNNNNNNNNGGGGCUAGAGGGAUGGCCGGGGCGGCGGCGGACCGGCGGUGGGGAGUGGUUUCGGGGCGGUCGGGGCUGCGGGGGGCGGCUCUUUGGCCGGUGGUGGUUGGCGGCUCAGGGGGUGGAGGUUGAAGAUGAACUGCAGGCCCUUAAUUUUGUAUCCAACGGCUAGAAAAUCGACUGACCAAAGAUGAAAAAGUCAGUCGACUAACGUGUAGCCUCACCUGAUGCUGCUACACGACCAGCUGCCCCGGCUCUCGCACGCGCUGCUGCUGCUGCUACUACUUUUCUGCUACUAGUGCGUUCAGUUUCAACAGUACAAUUCAGUUACGACAGCAAAAUUCAGUUUCGACAGUUAAGUUCAGUUUCGACAGUUAAGUUCAGAGAUGAGCGGCUGAUGUAUUUUACAUCUAGCACUUUGUGGUUAUGUAUUUUAUGUCAUCUAUUGGAGAUGCUAUUAGAAUUCCACUCAGGUUAACGUUGUCUCUCCUGUCCUGCUUCAGCCUCGGCAUCGUACAACUCAUCGGAGCUGCUCCAACGACGAAACCCUCCAUCACAGCGGAGCAGUCCCCCGGGCUCCAUCUCAAGAUGCCUAAGAUCUUCUUCCCCUCCUCCGACAGCCAAGUCAGCCGGAUCAUCCUCACCGACCAAUCCAAUCACGCUGAGAUCGACAUGGCUUCGCCAAAGAGGUUGUACACUUGUUGCAUCUCUUUUUUACUCUACAUGUUAUAUAUAUUGUCCACUGAGCACACACAGUAACGUGAAAUAUGAUUAGUUUCUCCUACUAUAUGACAAGCAAUGAGGUACCAGGCAACUUAGCUAUCUGUGAUGGACUCUCUUGAAUGCCAUCAUUAUUUAUCUCUACGCGUUUGAGCUGUGCAUUUGUCGAUGGGCCUAGGAGUUGAGCUAGUAGGGCAGUGGCCUGGGUCCAAAGUAGUAGAAGUAGCACAAAAAUAUUUUUUGAGUGUAGGCUUUUCUUUGCUCAAGCCUGCCUGCUAGAAUUGCCAGUGCUUGAAAGGAAAAGUGAAGAAAAACAUAGGAAUUGGAAAGUUUCCUAUGGUACUACUAUUCAUGCAUUUGGUUCAAAGGAAUGCAACAAAGGAAAAUUGUAGGAUUUGUUCCUUUAGUGUCUCCUUGAAAGAAAAACCGUAGGAAUUUUAAUAUCCACUUGUCCUCCUUUUCAAAUUCCUAUUCAUGUAGCACAAGACUAAGAGAUAGUAGCAUAAUAGCAUUAUAACCGUACAUUUUCUUGUGGUUUGACUUAAUCUCACCCUGCUUCUUUGCAUCAUGUGAUCUUCCAAUUCUUGUGAACCAAACACUCAGAUUGGCAGAAAUCCUGUGUUUUUAAAUUCUCUGUUUUGCACGUGCAUUCCUAUCCUAUUACUGUGUAUUUCCUAUCCCUACAUUGUUAGAAUCCUCCAAUUCAAACAAGCCCUUACAGAAUUACUUCUCUUACAGAUAGUUGUCAAAGAAAACCUUGUGUGGUUUGUCCCGCUCCUACUGCGCCGUCGUCCACCCCAGCUCAGCGGCUCCAAUUACAGAAGGGUCCAGCACAGCAAGGAUCUGGCCUCUAGACCGUCUUUCGCCGCCUCAGAUCUUCUUCCCUGCUGCUGCCAGCCAUGACAACUGCAUUACCAUCAUCAACCGAGCAGAUGACCUCGAGGACUACACGGGUUCGCAAGAGAGGUCACACUCUUUCAUGUCUGCUUACGUUAUGCAUCGCUUAAUAUUACAUCGCUUAGAUGAUUCAGAGACAGAUGACCAGUCCUAUUUCCCCUCAAGGUGUAUGCUCUAACUUGGUAGGGUUAUGUUGCUCAUAUCGUGCGUAUGGUGUCUUGCAUUGCUAUGUCAUUUGAUUAGUUUAGACAUGCUUUGUGUGAAUGCCACCUGUUUAUUGUCUAAUUCCCAUAUAUGUGAAUUAUGCAUUGCCAUCUUGUUGCAAGACAUUAUAUAUGUGAAUUAUGUAAUGCUAUCUUGUUGUAAAGGCAUUAUAUAUGUGAAUUAUCCAAUGCCAUGCUGUUUAGCCAAUCAUCAUGUAUGUGAAUUAUAUCAUGCUAUAUAUUUUUUGUAUUACGUGUUCCAUUUGUCGACAACAUUUGUAUAUUCAACUACUCUUCCUGUGCAUCAGCCAUUUGAAGCGGUGAUGCAAGUAUCUGGAGUGAAAACAAGGUAUUCAGAGCAGACAAUGCUACGUGCUGAAGCAGACAUCUUGCUGGUCACAGAGAGCUCCUCAAAGGAGGAUUCAGAGACUGAUGACCAGUCCUAUUUCCCCCUAAGGUCUAUGCUCAAACUUGGCAGGGUUAUAUUACCCAUGUCAUGCAUGUUGUCUUGCAUUGCUUAGUUUUUACAUCAUAUAUGGAUUGCCAUCUGCUUACUUGCUUACUAUAUAAAUCAUAUAUUUGAAUUAUAUCAUGCCAUCAUGUUUACAUACACAACAUCUAUCUGAAUUAUGGCAUGGCAACCCAUUUAGUAGACAUCAUAUAGUUAUAUCAUCUCAUCCUGUUUAGUGUUUACAGUCAUCAUAUUUUGAAUUAUGUCAUUCUGUCCGUGAAUUAUAUCUUGCUAUCAUGUUUCCAUAGGCGGCAUGUAUGUGAAUUAUGGCAUGCCAACCUAUUUAAUAAAGACAUUGUAUAGUUAUAUCAUGCCAUCCUGUUUACAUAGUCAUCAUAUUUUGAACUAUGUCUUUCCAUCUUUUUUAGUUAGCCAUCAUAAUGUGAAAUUGUGUCAUGCUAUCCUAUUUAGUUAGCCAUCAUAUAUGUGAAAUUGUGUCAUGCUAUCCUGUUUGGUUAGACAGCAUAAAUGUGAAUUAUUUCAUGCCCUCUUUUAUUCCCCACUAUCCAUUGCACCUGUAUUAUCAUAAAAUGUCUACACAUUCAAUUACUUUUCUUGUUUAUAAGCCAUUUGAAUUGGAGAGGGUGAUGGCAGUUUCUAAGGGAGUAACAACACGGUCUUCAGAAAAGAUAGUGCUAACAGUUGAUGCAGAUAGAACCACUGUUGUACUUGCCCAAGAACCAACCCCACCAAACAUAACCCAGACUCUCGCAAACUGUACCCCUACCCAGUUGGACAGAGAACCAGCUACACCCCUUCUAACCCCAACCCCAAAAGAUAGUAACCCAGUUCCAGUCGACACAACACCGUCUCCACCACAGAGCACCCAAACACGAGCAAUUAGUAAGGGAACUGCAGUGCCCAAAGCACGAGGACCACCACUCCGAAUCCCAACUCAACGCGUAAAGGAGAAGAAGAAUUGUUCUCAUGUCAGGUUCUGUAGCUAUGGUUCAUACUCCUUUGCUCUUGCAUCACUGUAUUUACUCAUACCAACUAUUUUCAAAUUUGAAGGAUGGAAUUGAAACUCCAAUGGCGCAACAGGUAUGUUUUAAACCUGUUUCUUUAACUAGUUUGUUGUUGUAACUUGCUCUAUGUUGAUUCCGGUUUCAAUUGAAUAAACAUUUAUGUUCUCAUGUCAUGCACAUUACAAGUGUUGUUAUUGCUCUAUAGUUUCCCACACUUAUAUUCUGUCUAUUCUGCUUUGUCUUGAACCAUAAAGUGACCAUGGUACAUAGAUAUAUGUUUGUUUCAUGUUGUUAUCCUGUCCACUUUACAACUGAUCUGAUUUACCAAAAUGAGUUUCAUAUACAACAUGGUAACCCUGUGAUGUGUCUGCUUGUUUCUCUUUUAGAAUGCAGACAAAAUAUUGGAGAACAGUACCCCGUUAUGCAAUGGAAGUAAUGUAGAUAAGGUUUAAGAUAGUGAGACAUCCCUAUUGGUCUCCAAGAAAGCUGAUAAAAACUAUCUUAACGACAGUGAGAUAACCCAAAAGUCGUGUCUUGAUGUAGUGUUCGAGUUACUGGCCACUACUACUGGCACAAGCUCUUCGAACUCGCUGCUUGAAUCGGUUCGUCUUCUUGAGUCUCAACUUCAAGUUGAAAGACAUUGAUUAGAUGUGCUGCGGCAGGAAGCUGAAGGACCGAGGAAGUCCCUGCAGAAUUCAGAUGCAUACUUUCUGGUGCAACAGCAAGCGGUGGAGGAUUUAAGCACCCAAACAAGAGAAAGUUAAUAAGUGUAACAUCCCAAAUUUUCAAUUUGGAAUGUUAUACGUUAGGUCAUCAUGCAUAUCAUAUUUUCUCGCAUUUUUCUGAUCCUAGAAAUUUCACGCAACUCAAAGACCCUCGGAGAGAGUUGGAAGUUUCAUUAUUUUCAUAUUUGGGAUUUCUCAAAUUUUGAAAAUAGGAUCAUUGGAUUUAUUUAAUUAUCUUCAUAAAGUUUUUCCUAUAAAAAUAUUUUGAGAGGGAAUAAUAUGACUUUCCCAACAAUUAGGAAAAAUGAAGAUUUUAUAAAUAAAUCAAAUUCGGUUUUGGAAGAUUUAUUUUGCUUAGGCAAAAAUGAGCAUUUAAAAAAAAUUUAUGCAUGUUUGCCGUUUUUAAAGUUCAUUUUGUUUGACUCAUUUUUAGGAGUCGGGGAAAAUUCGUUUUAUUUAAUUUGGAGUUCAUUUGGUUUAAAUUUCAUUAAAAAAAAAUACGCGCCCCCCCCGGGCCGAGGCCCAGCCGCCCCAGCCCAGCGCCCCCCCGGCCCACCUCCCUCCUCCCUCGCGCGCUCGGCCGCCCGAGCGAGGUGCCCCGCCGCCGCACGCCAUCGCCCCGCCGCNNNNNNNNNNNNNNNNNNNNNNNNNNNNNNNNNNNNNNNNNNNNNNNNNNNNNNNNNNNNNNNNNNNNNNNNNNNNNNNNNNNNNNNNNNNNNNNNNNNNNNNNNNNNNNNNNNNNNNNNNNNNNNNNNNNNNNNNNNNNNNNNNNNNNNNNNNNNNNNNNNNNNNNNNNNNNNNNNNNNNNNNNNNNNNNNNNNNNNNNNNNNNNNNNNNNNNNNNNNNNNNNNNNNNNNNNNNNNNNNNNNNNNNNNNNNNNNNNNNNNNNNNNNNNNNNNNNNNNNNNNNNNNNNNNNNNNNNNNNNNNNNNNNNNNNGCCCCGCCGGAGCUCGCCGGCGAGAUCACCGGAGGUAGCCCCGCGCCUCGAUCCGGUUUUCCCCUAAUAAACCAAUCCGGUUUUUUAAAAAAAAAAAGAUGUUCGGUUUUUUUUAAAACCCUAGAUUGGUUUUAUUUUUUUUCGGUUUUCUUAUUUAACGAACGUUCACCGAACCGUUCGUUUCAAUGAACGCGUUCGUUGGAUUCGUUCUGUUAACGAACGUCCGUUAUUUAAACCGUUCGUCGUUUUUCUUUUAAUCGGAUUUAAUCCGUUAUUUUUCUGAUUUGAUUUCAGAUCCGAUUUUCAAAACUGUUUUAUUUCUCGCUCGUUUAUCGGAAUCAGGUGAUUCAAGCGCCUGGAGUUUCGUAACGAAACCGCCGUUCCGACUAACCUACUUUCACAGAGUUUUGCUACUGUGAAAUUUUGACCUAAUUUCAGAUUGCUAAACCGAGUCGUUCUCUCUCGAGUUUCGACUUUCGGAGUUUAUUUUGAUUCGAUUCUUUUGCAACCAGGGUUCUUAAGUUGAACUUUCUGGUUAGAUCUUUUAUUCGAGAUUUCCCCGUGCAUUAGAUGAGUACUUAUUGUAUGCUUGUUGUUUGUCUGCGUUAGAUCACCCGGAGUGCGCCGCUUGUUACUUCGAAUCUCUAGGUCUCGCGGAUCAUCAGCAAGGCAAGUAACACUUUGAUCAUACCCUUCUCAUACCCAGUUUUUAUGCAUUAGAUCUAUUCCUCAAACACUUGCAUGAUUAGGAUCUAAUUAAAUUGUGGGUUUGGGAAGUAGAUUGAGGUAGUACCUAUUACCUGUUUUACUUAUGAAACCUUGGGAGUUACUUCUACGUUUGCUUAUUAUGCUAUGCUAUGCUAGUAGACGUGGAUUGGGUGAGUGAAUAUCCAUGACAGAUGUGAGAUUGUUAAUUAAUGGUUUAUCUAAGGUGGCAACCUAAACACACAUCUGGGUGGAUUGAGGCACCUGGUUUCUAUCAGGACUUGCCUGUAUUUCUUCGGACCGCCACCCAGGCUCUAAGGGAUCAUAAGAUUAUUCAAACUGGAAACUUCCGUGUGCAGCCACAAGCCAAUUAUGGGCUCUGGCGUAGUUGACUAAGUCGUGCGAACUCUUACGGGUAGGCUAGCUGAUGUAGGGGAUGUAGGUUGGUACGGUCUACCCACAUGUAAGGUGCUAGCGCUUCUGAAAGACUAUGUCUCGAUCAUCCGUUUCUCAAACACCAUGUAGUGCGAGAACCAAGCGGAGGCGAUCGAGUCUUGUGGGGAAAAGUGCGCAAACCUCUGCAGAGUGUAUAAACUAAUCAUGAUUAGCCGUGUCCCCGGUUAUGGACAAUUUGAGUAUCCUGUAAUUGAAUAUCAUGUGAAUCUCAACAUGUUACUUCUAAUAAAAGUUAUUGGGUUUGAUGAGUACUUUUAAUUGGGAUUGAGGAUGCUGUCAACCAUUCUCAAUGUUUAACAACCAACAUGAUAGUUAAAUAAAACUAUUCCUUUGAUGUAGGGAAAAAUCAGCUUUAUGCAAAUGUAACCGUAGAGCCUUACCACCAGCCAUAUAUGCAUGUAGUAUAGGCUUAUUUCCUUCAUUGCUCUUUAUGUGUUACAUUGCCAGCAUAUUCCAUGUGCUGACCCGUUUUCGGGCUGCAACUUUCACGUUGCAGACUUUUCAGACGACGAGUAAGGUGUUAGGUCGUGGUUCUAUACUCAGUGAUGCCGUUGGAGUUGAUGGACUCGCUUAUCUUCCAAGCCUUCCGCUGUUAUUAUUAGAUGGCCUUAAGCCAUAUUAUUGUAAUAAGUUCCCUUGUGGACAACGAUGUAAUAAGUGUGUGAUUGCUACUCUGCAAUAAAUCCUUCGAAGUACUGUGCGGUGUCAGCAUUACUGAUCCAGGGAUGACACUGAGCACAGAGACUGGAUCCAUUCGGGUCUGGUCGCUAUAGAGAAUGGUAUCAGAGCACACGCUGACUGUAGGACACGACCACUAAGUUAAAGCCAUAGAUCACUACUCUCUUCCCAUUUUCUAACUCCUCAUCUUUUCUACUCUCUUUAGGAUGACGGACGCGAAGAUCAAGUACACCCAACCGGAUGAAGGCACACCUUUUGGAUUUCACUUGAAGGAAGUUACUAAGUACCUGAACAUUGGACUACCAAGCUUCACCGGGACUUUCAACGCCACUCUGCCUGAAGAGGAGCGCUGGAAGAUUCAUGCUCACGUUCCAGGAAGGACAUUCGCCCCAAUCACCAAGUCUAUAGAUAGUGUUUUCAGUGCACCAACUUGGAGUCUGGGAAAGAGCAUGGCAGCUCACAUCACCAUGGGACGCAUUGGAGAAGUUUAUCAAGAAGACCUCAAGGACACCAUCUACCAGAUUUGCGGACGCCGAGAUGACAACUGGGACGUCGUCAACACCAAGAAGGAUAGAUCCAUUGCAGCUUUCAUCCAGGAGUUAAAUCAGCACAUUCGACGCCAGGAGAACCAAAUGUGCAAUGACAUGUUGGAGUUGCAGAAGACAAAGGGAAGGAUCAUCGAACUGGAAGAAGAACUAAAGACUACACGCAAGGACUACAUGGACGAGAUCGUAGCUCUGGCAAGACACAAUAACGAUCUUAAGUACGAGAUCGAAGAACUCAAGAAGAAGUUGGCGCUCAGGAAUGAAGACUAGUAUGUCGAACACCCAAGCGACUACAUUAACAUCGACGACACCGAUUCGGAUCCAAGUGAACCCGACUUUGAAGACGAAGCUGGAGCAGACAUCAUGGAGUCUUCCACCGGUUCAAACUAGUAGAAGUCCCCCACAUAUUAGUAGUAUCUCCCUCCAUGUAAACAUUAUAGUACACGCACUUUUGCGAUAGUUAGAUCGUUGUAAGCCCUUGUUUGAUUGAAUGGAGUGAUUUUGUGUGUUUUUGCUCAUGUGCAUUUGGGUAGUGAUUCCCUUAGACCUCAUUCUAUUCUACAUUUCUCUCCUUUUCUAAACCCAUCAGAUGCCUCCGAGACGCGACCCCGGAUUCGUUUUCCCGCCAGAGAUCACCCAAUUGAUCCAGCAGCAGAAUACCCUGAUUCAAACAUUGGUGCAGAACAACAACAACAACAACCCACCGCCACCACCACCACCUGCGGAUCAUCUGACUCGUUUCCUUAGACUGAACCCGCCGGUGUAUUCCAGUAGCACCGAGCCGAUUGUAGCAGAUGACUGGCUCCGCAAGAUAGGAAGGGAGCUGACCACUGCAGGAUGCACAGAUGGUGAAAGAGUGAAGUUUGCAGCACAUCAGCUUGAAGGACCCGCAGCAACAUGGUGGGAGAAUUUCACAGCCACUUACCCCGUAGACACUGUCACAUGGGACCAGUUUCAGCAAGCUUUUCGCACUGCCCAUGUUUCAGCAGGAGCCAUGGCCAUGAAGAAGCGUGAGUUUCGCAACUUACGCCAAGGAGGAAGGACUGUUGGCCAGUAUGUGGAUGACUUUAGUAAAUUAGCACGUUAUGCCCCAGAUGACGUUGCUACAGAUGCGGCUAAACAGGAGAAGUUUCUAGAAGGACUGAAUGAUGAGUUCAGCAUGCCGUUGAUGGUAGCAAGUUUCAACAACUACCAGGAGUUAGUAGACCGAGCUCUCAUGAUCGAAGGAAAGCAGCAGCAAAUUGAGAACCGCAAGCGGAAGUAUGGACAAGGGAAGUAUAACUCUGGAUCCCAGCAGAAGCCUCGUUAUACCCCUAAAUCAGGAAUUCAGUUUCAGCAUACCCAUGGAGGAGGUAAUUCGCACAACCAUAAUGGCACCAAGAAUGGGAACAGGAAUGGAGGAAGCAACGGACAGAACCGCACCAACCCGUCAACACCAUCCAAGGUAGAUCUGAGUCAUAUUACUUGCUUUAAGUGCCGCAAGACUGGGCACUAUGCAAAUGACUGUCCAGAAGGCCAGAAUGGAAAUGGCAAUGGAAGCUCUGGAAAGAAGCCCAACCCUUUCAACAGGGGACAGGUGAACCACAUUGAUGUGGAGGAGGUUGAAGAUCAGUCCGAUGCAGUAAUCGGUAAGUUUUUGGUUAAGUCAUUUACUGCAAUUGUUCUUUUCGAUACUGGUGCAUCGCAUUCAUACAUAUCAAGGGGAUUUGUGGAUAAGUACAAGUUACCAACCCAAGCCCUUAGGUCACCCAUGCUAGUAACCUCACCCGGAGCAGAGUACAUGGCUAGUAAAUGGUGUGAUCGACUGCCACUACGGAUUGGACACUAUGUUUUCCCCUCAGACCUAAUAGUUCUGGAAUCCCAAGGAUUGGAUGUGAUAUUAGGAAUGGAUUGGUUAUCAAAGUAUGGAGGAAACAUAGAUUGUACCACAAGGUCAAUUUUGCUCACCACACCAGAAGGAAGAAGGAUCAAGUAUGUAUCACGGCACGAGCCGAGGAGAGCACAAGUUAAUUGUUUAUCAGGAGUGGUACAGGAAGAAGUACCAGUGGUGAAGGAUUAUCCUGAUGUAUUUCCGAAAGAGUUGCCAGGAAUGCCGCCGGAUAGAGACAUUGAGUUUUUGAUCGAGCUGUUGCCAGGAACAGGCCCGAUAUCGAAGCGACCGUACAGGAUGCCCGCAAAGGAUUUGGCGGAAAUCAAGAAGCAGAUUAAGGAACUAUUGGAUAAAGGUUUUAUUCGCCCAAGUUCUUCACCUUGGGGAUCACCCGUUUUGUUAGUGGAGAAGAAGGAUGGAUCGUUGAGAAUGGUUGUUGAUUACCGUGGAUUGAAUGAAGUAACAAUCAAGAACAAGUACCCACUACCUAUGAUUAAUGAUCUGUUUGAUCGCUUGCAAGGAGCCAAAGUGUUUUCUAAGAUCGACUUGCGAUCAGGGUACCAUCAGUUGAAGAUUCGGGAGCAAGACAUACCCAAGACCGCAUUUACCACGAGAUAUGGACUGUACGAGUAUACCGUUAUGUCAUUUGGACUGACUAACGCACCAGCCUAUUUCAUGAACCUGAUGAACAAAGUGUUUAUGGAGUUUUUGGAUAAGUUCGUCGUGGUGUUCAUUGAUGAUAUUUUGAUUUUCUCGAAGAAUGAAGAGGAACACAAGGAACAUUUGCGAUUGGUUUUGGAGAAACUGAGGGAACACCAGUUGUAUGCCAAGUUCAGCAAGUGUGAGUUUUGGCUAAAGGAAGUUGGAUUUCUCGGACAUGUUAUAUCCGGAGAAGGGAUAGCAGUUGACCCCACAAAGGUUGAGACCGUAACCAAAUGGGAAGCACCAACGACAGUUGGAGAGAUUCGGAGUUUCCUUGGACUCGCAGGAUACUACCGAAGAUUCAUUGAGAAUUUCUCAAGGAUUGCAAAGCCUAUGAUAGAAUUGUUGAAGAAGGAAAACAAAUUCAUAUGGACUGAGGACUGCGAGGCAAGUUUUCAGGAGUUGAAGAAAAGAUUGGUUACCUCACCCGUUUUGAUAUUGCCAGAUCAGACUAAGGAUUAUGAGGUGUAUUGCGACGCUUCACGUCGAGGACUUGGAGCAGUGCUUAUGCAGGAAGGAAGAGUUGUUUCGUAUGCUUCACGACAACUUAAGCCUCAUGAGUUGAAUUAUGCCACUCAUGAUUUGGAGUUAGCAGCCGUUGUGCAUGCCUUGAAGACGUGGAGACAUUUUCUCAUUGGAAAUCAUUGUGAAGUAUAUACGGAUCACAAGAGUUUGAAGUACAUCUUCACCCAGAAGGAAUUGAAUCUCAGACAAAGGAGAUGGUUGGAACUUAUUAAGGAUUAUGAUAUGAGAUUGCAUUAUAACCCCGGAAAGGCUAAUGUCGUAGCUGACGCAUUGAGCCGUAAGAGCCACGUCAAUACCCUAAUGAUGGGAGGAAUACCCAAUGAGUUAGCCGAGGACCUUCGAGAACUAUGUUUGGAAAUAGUUCCGAGAGGCUAUGUAGCAGCAUUGGAGAUUCAGUCGACACUAAUGGACAAAAUUAGAGAAGCCCAAAAGGCAGAUAAGGAAGUUGCCUCUAUAAAGGAGAAAAUGAGCAAAGGAAAAGCAAAAGGAUUUCGUGAGGAUGAGCACGAUACCCUAUGGUUUGAAGACCGUGUUUAUGUGCCCAAUGACCCAGAGAUCAGGAAGUUGAUUUUGCAAGAAGCCCAUGAUUCACCCUAUUCGAUUCACCCAGGAAAUACCAAGAUGUAUUUGGAUUUGAAGAAUAUUUUCUGGUGGACCGGAAUGAAGAAGGAUAUUGCGGAGUAUGUAGCAGUUUGCGACAUAUGUCAGAAAGUAAAGGCAGAGCAUCAGAAGCCAGCAGGAUUGUUACGACCGUUGCCGAUACCCGAAUGGAAGUGGGAUAAACUAGGCAUGGAUUUCAUCACAGGUUUGCCAAAGACCCGUUCAGGAUAUGACUCGAUUUGGGUCAUAGUCGAUCGUUUGACCAAGGUAGCUCAUUUCAUUCCAGUCAAGACUACCUAUAGCAGUGCUAAGUUGGCAAAGAUAUAUAUGACCGGAAUUGUGUGUUUACACGGAGUUCCGAGGAGCAUCGUACGGAUAGAGGAACCCAGUUCACUUCGAAAUUUUGGAACCAGUUGCACGAAACAUUGGGAACCCGAUUGGAAUUCAGUACAGCUUUCCACCCACAGACCGAUGGACAGACCGAGAGAGUCAAUCAGAUUUUGGAGGACAUGCUGAGAGCUUGUGCACUAGAUUAUGGAUCCAGUUGGGAUGAUAAUUUGCCGUAUGCAGAAUUUUCCUACAACAACAGUUACCAAACCAGCUUAAAGAUGGCACCUUUCGAGGCUCUGUAUGGAAGAAGGUGCAGGACACCGUUGUCAUGGGACGAAACUGGAGAUCGUCAGUUGUUUGGACCAGAUUUGAUUAAGGAGUCUGAACAGAAAGUUAAGUUGAUUCGAGACAGGCUCAAGGUAGCCCAGUCCAGACAGAAGAGCUAUGCCGAUUCAAAAUGCAAAGCGAUUGAGUAUGAAGUUGGAGACAGAGUAUAUCUCACAGUAUCCCCGCUUCGAGGAGUUAAGCGUUUUGGAGUGAAAGGAAAGUUAGCACCCCGUUUCGUUGGACCAUAUAAGAUUUUGCAAACGCAUGGGAGAAGUUGCGUAUAAAUUGGAAUUGCCAGAAGGACUGUCAGGAGUUCAUGAUGUAUUCCAUGUUUCUCAGUUGAAGAAAUGUCACCCCGAGAUAGCAGAGGUACCGUUAAGAGACGCAGUGCCACUGGAAGCAAUUCAGUUGAAGGAUGACUUGACAUAUGAGGAAAAACCAGUUAAGAUUCUCGAUUAUGCCAGCAGAGUUACCCGCAGCAAGGUUAUCAAGUCUUGCAAAGUUCAGUGGAGCCACCACACUAAGGAUGAAGCCACCUGGGAAAGAGAGGAAGUUUUGCUUAAGGACCACCCUCACCUAUUUUCUAGCCAACCAGAAUCUCGAGGGCGAGAUUCAUCUUAAGGGGGUAGGUUUGUAACAUCCCAAAUUUUCAAUUUGGAAUGUUAUACAUUAGGUCAUCAUGCAUAUCAUAUUUUCUCGCAUUUUUCUGAUCCUAGAAAUUUCACGCAACUCAAGGACCCUCGGAGAGAGUUGGAAGUUUCAUUAUUUUCAUAUUUGGGAUUUCUCAAAUUUUGAAAAUAGGAUCAUUGGAUUUAUUUAAUUAUCUUCAUAAAGUUUUUCCUAUAAAAAAUAUUUUGAGAGGGAAUAAUAUGACUUUCCCAACAAUUAGGAAAAAUGAAGAUUUUAUAAAUAAAUCAAAUUCGGUUUUGGAAUAUUUAUUUUGCUUAGGCAAAAAUGAGCAUUUUAAAAAAAUUUAUGCAUGUUUGCCGUUUUUAAAGUUCAUUUUGUUCGACUCAUUUUUAGGAGUCGGGGAAAAUUUGUUUUAUUUAAUUUGCAGUUCAUUUGGUAUUUUUUUAAUUCAUUUGGUUUAAAUUUCAUUUAAAAAAAAAUACGCGCGCCCCCCCUGGGCCGAGGCCCAGCCGCCCCAGCCCAGCGCCCCCCCGGCCCACCUCCCUCCUCCUUCGCGCGCUCGGCCGCCCGAGCGAGGUGCCCCGCNNNNNNNNNNNNNNNNNNNNNNNNNNNNNNNNNNNNNNNNNNNNNNNNNNNNNNNNNNNNNNNNNNNNNNNNNNNNNNNNNNNNNNNNNNNNNNNNNNNNNNNNNNNNNNNNNNNNNNNNNNNNNNNNNNNNNNNNNNNNNNNNNNNNNNNNNNNNNNNNNNNNNNNNNNNNNNNNNNNNNNNNNNNNNNNNNNNNNNNNNNNNNNNNNNNNNNNNNNNNNNNNNNNNNNNNNNNNNNNNNNNNNNNNNNNNNNNNNNNNNNNNNNNNNNNNNNNNNNNNNNNNNNNNNNNNNNNNNNNNNNNNNNNNNNNNNNNNNNNNNNNNNNNNNNNNNNNNNNNNNNNNNNNNCUCCCGCCCCGCCCGGAGCCCCGCCGGAGCUCGCCGGCGAGAUCACCGGAGGUAGCCCCGCGCCCCGAUCCGGUUUUCCCCUAAUAAACCGAUCCGGUUUUUUUUUUAAAAAAGAUGUUCGGUUUUUUUUAAACCCUAGAUUGGUUUUAUUUUUUUUCGGUUUUCUUAUUUAACGAACGUUCACCGAACCGUUCGGUUCAAUGAACGCGUUCGUUGGAUUCGUUCUGUUAACGAACAUCCGUUAUUUAAACCGUUCGUCGUUUUUCUUUUAAUCGGAUUUAAUCCGUUAUUUUUCUGAUUUGAUUUCAGAUCCGAUUUUCAAAACUGUUUUAUUUCUCGCUCGUUUAUCGGAAUCAGGUGAUUCAAGCGCCUGGAGUUUCGUAACGAAACCGCCGUUCCGACUAACCUACUUUCACAGAGUUUUGCUACUGUGAAAUUUUGACCUAAUUUCAGAUUGCUAAACCGAGUCGUUCUCUCUCGAGUUUCGACUUUCGGAGUUUAUUUUGAUUCGAUUCUUUUGCAACCAGGGUUCUUAAGUUGAACUUUCUGGUUAGAUCUUUUAUUCGAGAUUUCCCCGUGCAUUAGAUGAGUACUUAUUGUAUGCUUGUUGUUUGUCUGCGUUAGAUCACCCGGAGUGCGCCGCUUGUUACUUCGAAUCUCUAGGUCUCGCGGAUCAUCAGCAAGGCAAGUAACACUUUGAUCAUACCCUUCUCAUACCCAGUUUUUAUGCAUUAGAUCUAUUCCUCAAACACUUGCAUGAUUAGGAUCUAAUUAAAUUGUGGGUUUGGGAAGUAGAUUGAGGUAGUACCUAUUACCUGUUUUACUUAUGAAACCUUGGGAGUUACUUCUACGUUUGCUUAUUAUGCUAUGCUAUGCUAGUAGACGUGGAUUGGGUGAGUGAAUAUCCAUGACAGAUGUGAGAUUGUUAAUUAAUGGUUUAUCUAAGGUGGCAACCUAAACACACAUCUGGGUGGAUUGAGGCACCUGGUUUCUAUCAGGACUUGCCUGUAUUUCUUCGGACCGCCACCCAGGCUCUAAGGGAUCAUAAGAUUAUUCAAACUGGAAACUUCCGUGUGCAGCCACAAGCCAAUUAUGGGCUCUGGCGUAGUUGACUAAGUCGUGCGAACUCUUACGGGUAGGCUAGCUGAUGUAGGGGAUGUAGGUUGGUACGGUCUACCCACAUGUAAGGUGCUAGCGCUUCUGAAAGACUAUGUCUCGGUCAUCCGUUUCUCAAACACCAUGUAGUGCGAGAACCAAGCGGAGGCGAUCGAGUCUUGUGGGGAAAAGUGCGCAAACCUCUGCAGAGUGUAUAAACUAAUCAUGAUUAGCCGUGUCCCCGGUUAUGGACAAUUUGAGUAUCCUGUAAUUGAAUAUCAUGUGAAUCUCAACAUGUUACUUCUAAUAAAAGUUAUUGGGUUUGAUGAGUACUUUUAAUUGGGAUUGAGGAUGCUGUCAACCAUUCUCAAUGUUUAACAACCACCAUGAUAGUUAAAUAAAACUAUUCCUUUGAUGUAGGGAAAAAUCAGCUUUAUGCAAAUGUAACCGUAGAGCCUUACCACCAGCCAUAUAUGCAUGUAGUAUAGGCUUAUUUCCUUCAUUGCUCUUUAUGUGUUACAUUGCCAGCAUAUUCCAUGUGCUGACCCGUUUUCGGGCUGCAACUUUCACGUUGCAGACUUUUCAGACGACGAGUAAGGUGUUAGGUCGUGGUUCUAUACUCAGUGAUGCCGUUGGAGUUGAUGGACUCGCUUAUCUUCCAAGCCUUCCGCUGUUAUUAUUAGAUGGCCUUAAGCCAUAUUAUUGUAAUAAGUUCCCUUGUGGACAACGAUGUAAUAAGUGUGUGAUUGCUACUCUGCAAUAAAUCCUUCGAAGUACUGUGUGGUGUCAGCAUUACUGAUCCAGGGAUGACACUGAGCACAGAGACUGGAUCCAUUCGGGUCUGGUCGCUACAAUAAGCUUGCUAAGCAUCUUUCCAGCAUUAUGGGUACCCAGGAUAUUGUUUCUUGAGAUCUUAUGAAGUAGUUUCAGUUCUGGACUUGUUUUGCUACGGCGUUAUUUGCACUGGUCGCCAACUUUGACAACCAGUGUAUAUGAUAUGCUGCUUUGUUCCGUAUAUUUGCACUGGUGGCAAACUUUCAUGCCCAGUGGAUGUAAUAUGUGUAAUAGCUGUGAUAGCCUAGCGUAAGUUGCUUGCUUAUUUAUUUCCUUGUUUGUCUUGUUUAUUUGUUUGCUUGUAGUCAGUGCAGUUCUUUUUCCGCGGUUUGGCCGCAAUAACCUAUUUUUUAAAACUACGCCACAAUAACCAUGGGCUACAUAUUUAUUGUAGUUACCAUGGGCCCCUACGGGACGUAGAAACAAUGGGCCUUCUACGGAUCGUAGAAACAAUGGGCCUUGUAAGGGCUAUAGCAUCAAUGGGCCUUCUACGGGUCGUAGCAUCAAUGGGCCUUCUACGGGCCGUAUGAACGAUCGACCAAACAUGGGCCAAUAACAGACCGCAUUAUGGGCUGUAAACGGGCUAGAUUUGGAAUCAUCCAUUCAUGGGCCGACAAUAACGGGUCGUCGUUAAUCGGCCGUAUUUGAUGAGGCUAUGAAAAUGGCCCAAUGGAUUAACGGGCCGCAAACGGGCCGAUUGUUACCACGGGCUGAAUUUGGCCCACAAGCAGAAAAGGCCAGUAACAUGCUGUAAGUAACCGAAUGCUGGAAAUAAGCCCAGGAAUAAAUGGGCCCUAAGAAGGCCGAAAGAUAACACGGGUUGGAAACGGCCCAAUGGAAUAAUGGGCCGUUAGUGGGUACGAAGCGAUACACUCUUCAUUGUGGGCCAGAUUCACUACGGGCUGUUAAUGGGCCAAGAGUUACAAAUGGCCUCGUAUGGGCCGAAAGACAUCAUGGGCCAUACAUGGGCCGGAAGUUACAAUGGGUUGGAAUCAUAUUGGAUGCCCCAAAUGAAGCUACUGAGCUUAAUUCCGAUAGGCCGUAACGGGCCGUGAGUUAGCGGUCCGUAAAUGGGCUAUAUAGGAACAUGAUUUCCGUGGGCCGGCCCGUUACCUUUUGACCAAGUCAAACUGGCCGGCCUUUUCACCGGAAUGGGCCUCUGUUGGGCCGUGCCAUGUGUCGACCUAUCAUAGGCGCCUCCUGUCCAAUGAAUGGAUGACAUCUGUCCCAACGGUGAGCCAACACGUGUUUCCUCUGGCCAAUGACAAUUUUACACGUGGAAAAUCCUCAUUGGUCCGGGCUUUAACGGGUUAUCAGAUCCAAAACCGGACCCGAUAGCUUAACGGCGGCCCAUUACAUUGGAUGCCACAUGUCGGUCACCCUUGACGAAAGCACUUCCAUGAUGCGCGAUUUAUCGCCAUGGAAGUGGACACUUCCGUAAUGAUAAUUUUGGUAAUGUCAUGGAACACUUCUACUGCAGCACAGGUAUGACUAUCUUGAUUCUGUCAUAAAGUUGUCAUGGAUGUACAUGCAUGACAGAAAACGUGACCUACUAUGACAAACACGUAUCAUCACGGAAGUGUAUUUUUUUGUAGUGAAUUCCCUUAAACCUGCAUACCUUGCGUUUCAUCAAAACGCUUGUUGAUGCGGUCGAGCUCUUUGUCAGCUAGUUUAAGCUUCCGAUUUAACUCGGAAACCUCUGCGGCUCGGACAGAUGCCGCAACCAAAGAAGCCUGUUCAAGCACAAAGUACACAGUUCAACUCCAUCAGGCACUACUGUAUAUAUAUAUAUAUAUAUAUAUAUAUAUAUAUAUAUAUAUAUAUAUAUAUAGGGUUCUCUUUAAAGAAUAUUACAUCGCAUACCUCAAAGUUUGUUGGUAGGCUGUUGAAAGCUUCGUUCAGUCCGCCUUUGACGGACUGAAUUUUCUCCAUGACUGCACUCAUCAGAGUGCGGUGUUCCUCUAUGAUGGAAGCACUUUGCAGUGCUCCCUCCAGAGUGUUCGGCACCUCCGGAUGGACGGUGGGCACCGUGGGACCAGUCUCUCCCUCCCCCAUCACGGGGGGCUGAUCUCCUGAUUUCGGAGCCGCACUGGGCCCCGACACAGUGUUCGGUGGGGCCCCAGAUUGCAUGGCCCCCCAUCCCUGGUCACCAUGGGGAUUGCUCCCCCUUGGUCGACAGCGGCCGAGGGAUUGACCUCGGGCGCCCUUUCGUCCACCCCACUCCCACCUGCUGGAGCAGGGGGAGUCUGUAGAGCGGAUACCUCGGUAUCCCCCAUAGUGGGCGACGAGCCCCGCGGAGGCGUAUCACUCUCCACCAUCCCCAGCGAUAGGGAGUUCCCCGAUGACAGUGAAGCCACGGGGAUGUCAUGUGGAGGACUAUAUAAAGGCAAAGUAAAUAUUAGAUGCUAAAAAGGAAAAUUAUCCGAACAUAAGCUAUUAUCAUCAAAAUACUUACGAUUCGUCCAGGGGCUUAAUCUUGGGCUGAACUCGAUACCUGUGUUCGAACAUUGAGUCCGAACUAUCUGGAAGAUUCAAUUUCUUCCUGGGCACGGCAUUGCCUGCGUCAGCUGGGGCCGCCCUUUUCCUCCCCGUCACUUGGAUAGGGGAGUCAUCUUCUUUUUCCUCCUCCUCUUCUUCUUCAGGAGAGAGGAGGGUGCCAGUUUCCCCGAACCUUGUGUCCGCGAGACCUAUAGGGUGGGGGUCGCUCUUGACUUCCUUGCCCUUCUUCUUGGCCUUCUUCUCUGGCACCUUGUACGGCACCGGAACCAACAUCGCCGUCAACUGAGGCGUCUCUGGGUCUUCUGGCAAGGGAGCCGGACACUUGAUCCGCUCUGCCUUUUUCGUCCAGGCCUGGAUAGAGCGCAGAAACUUCAACUCCUGUUAUAAUUGAAGUAUGAAUGGAGUGUGUAUUCGAUGGAAAUCUUUAUUACCUCUGAAGCAGUGAGCACGCUGCUGAAGCCCUUGUCUUCGGUCCCCUCUGGCCACCCCUUCUGGGUCUUGAAGAGGUACUUCCAUAUGUCUUCGUGCGUAGUGCCGAAGAGACGCUUCAAUGACCGGGGCCCUUCCGGAUUGAACUCCCACAGAUGGGAGUCUCGGUGUUGGCAGGGAAGGGGGAGACGGAAGAGCAUUACCUAAAUUACAUUUGUGAGGAGGGUGCCCUUGGUGAUCAUGUCGGCGAUGCGGCUUUGGAGCGCCAGCACCUCCGCCUGAGACCCCCAUCCGGACCCUUGUCGGUCCAAGAGGUUAGCCUCUCCUGGGAGUCCAGAUCUAAAUGCGGGCGCCGCCGCCCACUUGGUGUCGCAGGGCUCGGUGAUGUAGUAUCACUCCUGCUGCCAGGCCUUGUUCGUCUCCACAAAGGCCCCCUUGGGCCAAGUGGCGUCGGGGAGCUUGCUCACCAUGGCACCUCCGCACUCCACGUGCUGCCCGUCGACCACCUUCGGCUUCAAAUUGAAGGUUUUGAGCCAAAGGCCAAAGUGUGGGGGGACACGGAGGAAUGCCUCACAUACCACUAUAAAAGCGGAUAUGUGGGAAUUGAGUUCAGGGCAAGAUCAUGGAAAUCUAGCCCACAGAAAAAUAAGAGGCCCCCUACAAAGGGGUGGAGAGAGGAAAUCCCAGCCCCCGAAUAAAGUGCGAGAGGAAGAUGACCCUCUCCCCCGCCUUAGGGACAGGGAUCACUUGGUCCUUUUCGGGGACCCGGUGCGCGACAUCGUCAGUGAGAUAGCCCGCACUCCGAAGAUUAUUCACGACCUUCUCUCUGACCAUGGAAGCUUCCUACUUGCCCUUGGAACCGGAUCCGUCCAUGGCUGGGAAGGGGGGCGGUGGUUGAGGAGUCGAGAGUUGCGGGCGCAAGAGCUGAGGACGCUGGGGCUAGGGAGAUUGGAGAGCUAGGGCUUAAGGAAGGCGUGGGGCUGGUGAAAGGGGGAUUUGUGUCCUUUUAUAAGCGGUGAAUGCUAAACGCCCCCCCCCACUUUAGUCGUGAACCUCGCCGGUUCCCAACGUAGUCAUGCGUAAGGCAUGGUUAAGAUGCUCACGUCACAUUGAUAAGGAUCCCGUAAUAAGCGGGCACGAUCUCUAUUUUGACAAGACGUGACAAUGGGGCUAUACCUCAAAGCACGACACUGGAGACAAGAAAACGGUUUGAUAUAUUAAAGGGACAGACGUGACGCUUCGCUGAAAAAAGUUGUCAGUAAAGACGCAAUAUCCCUUUUUUGAUACCUUGCCUUCGAGGCGAAGGGUUGUACUAACCAUGCAGAGCCGGACGUAGUACCUUUUUGUAGGGAAUAUUGCUUCAAUGUGUUCGGGAGGAGGAACCCGCCUUGCAAUGCCGAAGACAGUACGCGAGCCGAACUCAUCGUCAUGAAAGACUGGUUCAGGGGCUACUAAGGGAGUCCUGGAUUAAGGGGUCCUCAGGUGGCCGGAUCGCUCGUCAUGGGCCGGACUGAUGGGCCGUGAAGAUUAUUGAUGAAGACUAUCUCCCGUACCCGGAUUGGACUCCCAUAUGUGUAAAAUAGCAAGUUUAGAGUUCGAGUGUAAAACAUUCCUUCCUCUGCAAGAUGGUCAUGUACAAACCCUAGGUCCCUCCGGUGCAUAUAUAAACCGGAGGAUUUUAGUCCGUAGAGACAGAAGAAUCGUAGCAAUUACAUAGGCUAGACUUUUAGGGUUUAGCCAUUACGAUCUCGUGGUAGAUCAACUCUUGUAACCCUAUAUUCAUCAAGGUUAAUCAAGCAGGAAGUAGGGUAUUACCUCGAUUGAGAGGGCAUGAACCUGGGUAAACAUCGUGUCCCCAGCCUCCUGUUACCAUCAAUCCUCAGACGCAUAGUUCGGGACCCCCUACCCGACAUCCGCCGGUUUUCACACCGACAGUGAUGACACCGAAGGUAGAGUAAUGAGUAGACGGUGAUAAAAGAGGGCGAAGGUAGAUCAAAUUUUGUCUUGGUGGGGUGAUGUCUACUACGCAACCUUCUUCUUGUAGACGUUGUUGGGCCUCCAAGUGCAAAGGUUUGUAGGACAGUAGCAAAUUUCCCUCAAGUGGAUGACCUAAGGUUUAUCAAUCCGUGGGAGGCAUAGGAUGAAGAUGGUCUCUCUCAAGCAACCCUGCAACCAAAAAACAAAGAGUCUCUUGUGUCCCCAACACACCCAAUACAAUGAUAAAUUGUAUAGGUGCACUAGUUCGGCAAAGAGAUGGUGAUACAAGUGCAAUAUGGAUGGUAGAUAUAUGUUUUUGUAAUCUGAAAAUAUAAAAACAGCAACGUAGCAAGCGAUAAAAGUGAGCGUAAACGGUAUUGCAGUGCUAGGAAACAAGGCCUAGGGUUCAUACUUUCACUAGUGCAAGUUCUCUCAACAAUAAUAACAUAAUUGGAUCAUAUAACUAUCCCUCAACAUUCAACAAAGAGUCACUCCAAAGUCACUAAUAGCGGAGAACAAACGAAGAGAUUAUUGUAGGGUACGAAACCACCUCAAAGUUAUUCUUUCUGAUCAAUCCAUUGGGCUAUUCCUAUAAGUGUCACAAACAGCCCUAGAGUUCGUAGUAAAAUAACACCUUAAGACACACAUCAACCAAAACCCUAAUGUCACCUAGAUACUCCAAUGUCACCUCAAGUAUCCGUGGGUAUGAUUAUACGAUAUGCAUCACACAAUCUCAAAUUCAUCUAUUCAACCAACACAUAGAACCUCAAAGAGUGCCCCAAAGUUCCUACCGGAGAGUCAAGACGAAAACGUGUGCCAACCCCUAUGCAUAGGUUCAUGGGCGGAAACCGCAAGUUGAACACCAAAAUAUGCAUCAAGUGAAUCACGUGAUAUCCCAUUGUCACCACAGAUACGCAAGGCAAGACAUACAUCAAGUGUUCUCAAAUCAUUAAAGACUCAAUCUGAUAAGAUUACUUCAAAGGGAAAACUCAAUCCAUUACAAGAGAGUAGAGGGGGAGAAGCAACAUAAGAUCCAACUAUAAUAGCAACGCUCGCGAUACAUCAAGAUCGUAUCACCUCAAGAACACGAGAGAGAGAUCAAACACAUAGCUACUGGUACAUACCCUCAGCCCGGAGGGUGAACUACUCCCUCCUUGUCGUGGAGAGCGUCGGGAUGAUGAAGAUGGCCACCGGUGAGGUUUCCCCCCUCCGGCAGGGUGCCGGAACAGGGUCCCGAUUGGUUUUUGGUGGCUACAAAGCGUUGCGGCGGCGGAACUCCCGAUCUAUUCUGUUCCCCGAUGUUUUUAGGGUAUAUGGAUAUAUAUAGGUGAAAGAAGUCGGUCAGGGGAGCCACGAGGGGCCCACGAGGGUGGAGGGCGCACCCAGGGGGGUGGGCGCGCCCCCCUGCCUCGUGCCUUCCUCGUUGCUUUCUUGACGUGGACUCCAAGUCCCCCGGAUUGCUUUCUUUCCAAAAAUAACUUCUCUAGAAGGUUUCAUUCCGUUUCGACUCCGUUUGAUAUUCCUUUUCAUCGAAACACUGAAACAAGGGAAAAAACAGGAACUGGCACUGGGCUCUGGUUUAAUAGGUUAGUCCCAAAAAUAAUAUAAAGUGCAUAAUAAAGCCCAUAAACAUCCAAAACAGAUAAUAUAAUAGCAUGGAACAAUCAAAAAUUAUAGAUACGUUGGAGACGUAUCAGCAUCCCCAAGCUUAAUUCCUGCUCGUCCUCGAGUAGAUAAAUGAUAAAAACCGAAUUUUUGAUGUGGAAUGCUACCUAACAUAUCUAUCCAUGCAAUUAUCUUUAUUGUGGCAAGAAUAUUCAUAUCCAUAAGAUUCAAGACAAAAGUUUAAUAUUGACAUAAAAAUAAUAAUACUUCAAGCAUAGUAACUAAGCAAUCAUGUCUUCUCAAAAUAACAUGGCCAAAGAAAGUUCAUCCCUACAAAAUCAUAUAGUUUAGUCAUGCUCCAUUUUCGUCACACAAGAAUGAUCUCAUCAUGCACAACCCCGAUGACAAGCCAAGCAAUUGUUUCAUACUUUAGUAAUCUCAAACUUUUUCAACCUUCACGCAAUACAUGAGCGUGAGCCAUGGAUAUAGCACUAUGAGUGGAAUAGAAUAUGAUGAUGGGGGUUAUGUGGAGAAGACAAAAAAGGAGAAAGUCUCACAUCAACGAGGAUAAUCAAUGAGCUAUGGAGAUGCCCAUCAAUUGAUGUUAAUGCAAGGUGUAGGGAUUGCCAUGCAACGUAUGCACUAGAGCUAUAAAUAUAUGAAAGCUCAACAAAAGAAACUAAGUGGGUGUGCAUCCAACUUGCUUGCUCACGAAGACCUAGGGCACUUGAGGAGGCCCAUUGUUGGAAUGUACAAGCGAAGUCCUAUAAUGAAAAAUUCCCACUAGUAUAUGAAAGUGACAAAACAAGAGACUCUCUAUCAUGAAGAUUAUGGUGCUACUUUGAAGCACAAGUGUGGUAAAAGGAUAGUAACAUUGCCCCUUCUCUCAUUUUCUCUCAUUUUUUGGGCCUUCUCUUUUUUAUGGCCUUUCUUUUUUUAUUCCUCACUUGGGACAAUGCUCUAGAAAAUGAUGAUCAUCACACUUCUAUUUAUUUACAACUCAAUGAUUACAGCUCGAUACUAGAACAAAGUAUGACCCUAUAUGAAUGCCUCCGGCGGUGUACCGAGAUAUGCAAUGAACCAAUAGUGACAUGUAUGAAAGAAUUACGAAUGGUGGCUUUGCCACAAAUACUAUGUCAACUACAUGAUCAUGAAAAGCAAUAUGACAGUGAUGAACGUGUCAUGAUAAACGGAACAGUGGAAAGUUGCAUGGCAAUAUAUCUCGGAAUGGCUAUGGAAAUGCCAUAAUAGGUAGGUAUGGUGGCUGUUUUGAGGAAGAUAUAAGGAGGUUUAUGUGUGAUAGAGCGUAUCAUAUCACGGGGUUUGGAUGCACCGGCGAAGUUUGCACCAACUCUCAUUGUGAGUUAGGGCAAUGCACGGUACCGAAGAGGCUAGCAAUGAUGGAAAGGUGAGAGUGCGUAUAAUCCAUGGACUCAACAUUAGUCAUAAAGAACACACAUACUUAUUGCAAAAAUCUACAAGUCAUCAAAAACCAAGCACUACGCGCAUGCUCCUAGGGGGAUAGAUUGGUAGGAAAAGACCAUCGCUCGUCCCCGACUGCCACUCAUAAGGAGGACAAUCAAGGAACACCUCACAUUUCAAAUUUGUUAAACAACGUUUACCAUACGUGCAUACCAACAUUACACAAGUUAUUUUUGGAAAUAAUAAAAAAUACUGAGCGAAGAAAAUACCAGAGGGGGCCCACACCCUGACCAUGAGGGUGGGGGCGCGCCCCCUGCCUCGUGGGUCCCCUGGCAGGCCUCCGGUGUCCAUCUUCUGCUAUAUGAAGUCUUUUACCCUGGAAAAAAAUUAGAAGAAAGCUUUCGGGACGAGACUCCGCCGCCACGAGGCGGAACCUUGGCGGAACCAAUCUAGGGCUCCGGCGGAGCUGUUCUGCUGGGGAAAUUUCCAUCCGGGAGGGGGAAAUCAUCGCCAUCGUCAUCAUCAACUAUCCUCUCUUUGGGAGGGGGUCCAUCUUCAUCAACAUCUUCACCAACACCAUCUCCUCUCAAACCCUAGUUCAUCUCUUGUAUCCAAUCUUUGUCUCAUAGCUUGAGAUUGGUACCUGUAGGUUGCUAGUAGUGUUGAUUACUCCUUGUAGUUGAUACUAGUCGGUUUAUUUGGUGGAAGAUCAUAUGUUCAGAUCCAUUACGCAUAUUAAUACCCCUCUGAUUAUGAACAUGAAUAUGGUUUGUGAGUAGUUACUUUUGUUCCUGAGGACAUGGGAGAAGUCUUGCUAUUAGUAGUCAUGUGAAUUUGGCAUUCGUUCGAUAUUUUGAUGAGAUGUAUGUUGUCUUUCCUCUAGUGGUGUCAUGUGAACGUCGACUACAUGACACUUCACCAUUGUUUGGGCCUAGAGGAAGGCAUUGGGAAGUAAUAAGUAGAUGAUGGGUUGCUAGAGUGACAGAAGCUUAAACCCUAGUUUAUGCGUUGCUUCGUAAGGGGCUGAUUUGGAUCCAUAUGUUUCAUGCUAUGGUUAGGUUUACCUUAAUACUUCUUUUGCAGUUGCGGAUGCUUGCAAUAGGAGUUAAUCAUAAGUGGGAUGCUUGUCCAAGUAAGGAAAGCACCCAAGCACCGGUCCACCCACAUAUAAAAUUAUCAAAGUAACGAACGUGAAUCUUAUGAACGUGAUGAAAACUAGCUUGACGAUAAUUCCCAUGUGUCCUCGGGAGCAUUUUCCUUUGUAUAAGAAAUUGUCCAGGUUGUCCUUUUCUAAAAAAGGGAUUGGGCCAUCUUGCUGCACCUUAUUUACUUUCAUUACUUGUUACUCCUUACAAAUUACCUUAUCACAAAACUAUCUGUUACCGAUAAUUUUAGUGCUUGUAGAGAAUACCUUGCUGAAAGCCGCUUAUCAUUUCCUUCUGCUCCUCGUUGGGUUCGACACUCUUACUUAUUCAAAGUACUACGUUAGAUCCGCUAUACUUGUGGGUCAUCAAGACUCUUUUCUGGCACCGUUUCCGGGGAGUGAAGCGCCUUUGGUAAGUGGAAUUUGGUAAGGAAAAAUUUCUAUAGUGUGCUGAAAUUUACUGUCACUUGUUACUAUGGAAAGUAAUCCUCUGAGGGGCUUGUUCGGGGUAUCUUCACCCCGACCAGUAGAGCAAAUAGUUUCUCCUCAACCUACUGAACCUACUGAAAAUGUCUACUUUGAAAUUCCUUCAGGUAUGAUAGAGAAACUGCUAGCUAAUCCUUUUGCACGAGACGGAACAUUACAUCCUGAUGAGCACCUAAUCUAUGUGGAUGAAGUUUGUGGAUUAUUUAAGCUUGCAGGUAUGCCCGAUGAUGUUAUCAAGAAGAAGGUCUUCCCUUUCUCUUUGAAGGGAGAUGCAUUGACAUGGUAUAGGCUAUGUGAUGAUAUGGGAUCAUGGAACUACAAGCGAUUGAAAUUGGAAUUUCGUCAGAAGUUCUAUCCUAUGCAUCUUGUUCAUCGUGAUCAUAAUUAUAUAUAUAAUUUUUGACCUCGCGAAGGAGAAAGCAUCACUCAAUCUUGGGGGAGGCUUAAUUCAAUGUUAUAUUCAUGCCCCAAUCAUGAGCUCUCGAGAGAAAUGAUUAUUCAAAAAUUUUAUGCUCGGCUUUCUGACAACAAUCGCACCAUGCUCGAUACUUCUUGUACCGGUUCUUUUAUGACGAAGACUAUUGAAUUCAAAUGGAAUUUAUUGGAGAGAAUUAAAUGCAACUCUGAAGUUUGGGACCUCGACAAAGGUAAAGAGUCAGGUAUAACACCUAAGUUUGAUUGUGUUAAAUCUUUUAUGGAUAACGAUGUUUUCUGUAAAUUUAGCACUAAAUAUGGACUUGACUCUCAGAUAGUAGCUUCUUUCUGUGAAUCCUUUGCUACUCAUGUUGAUCUCCCUAAGGAGAAGUGGUCUAAAUAUAAUCCUCCCACUGAAGUUAAAGUAGUUGCACCUAUUAAAGUUGAAGAAAAGACUAUCACUUAUAAUGAUCCUAUUGUUCCUACUACUUAUGUGGAGAAAUCACCUUUCCCUGUUAGGAUUAAGAAUCAUGCUAAAGCUUCAACUGUGGUCCGUAAGAGUAAUACUAGAACUUAUACACCUCCUGAGCAAGUUAAAGUUGAACCUAAUAUUGCUAUGGUUAAAGAUCUCUUGGCUGAUAAUAUCGAUGGGCAUGUUAUUUACUUCUGUGAUGAAACUGCUAGGAUUGCUAAACCCGGUGCUAAAGAUAAACAUAGACCUAUUGUGGGCAUGCCUGUUAUUUCUGUUAAAAUAGGAGAUCAUUGUUAUCAUGGCUUAUGUGAUAUGGGUGAUAGUGCAAGUGCAAUACCUCAUUCUUUAUAUCAAGAAAUUAUGCAUGAUAUUGCACCUGCUGAGUUAGAAGAAAUUGAUGUCACCAUUAAGCUUGCCAAUAGAGAUACUAUUUCACCAAUUGGGAUUGUUAGAGAUGUUGAAGUCUUGUGUGGGAAGGUUAAAUAUCCUGCUGAUUUUCUUGUUCUUGGUUCCCCACAAGAUAGCUUUUUUCCCAUUAUAUUUGGUAGACCCUUCUUGAAUACUGUUAAUGCUAAGAUAGACUGCAAGAAGGAUGUUGUUACUAUCGGUUUGGAUGAUAUGUCUCAUGAGUUUAGUUUCUCUAAAUUUCGUAGACAACCUCGUGAUGAGGAAUUGCCUAGUAAAGAUGAAAUUCACUAGUGUAGAACCGGGCUUUAGUCCCGGUUCGUAAAGGCCUUUAGUGUCGGUUCCGUAACCGGCACUAAAGGGUGGGCACUAAAGGGGCCCCCCUUUAGUACCGGUUCGGCACGAACCGGCGCUAAAGUGCCACCACGUGGCACGAGCCAGGCCACGGGUGCGGUAGAUCAUUAGUACCGGUUGGUAACACCAACCGGUACUAUAUGUUUGUGGGUUUUGGUUUUAUUUUUUAUAUUUCCUUUAAAUUUGUGUUUUCAAUUUAAUUUAGGAUUGUUUUACGUUAUAAUGAGUUGUUAAAUCAUUAGGUGCUAGUUAAUUAUAUAUAGCUAGCUAAGUGAUCAAGUAUAUGCCAUAGCCAUAUUAUAUAUACUUGAUCACCUAAAGUGAUCAAGCAGUAAUAUGGGUAUGGCAUAUAUUUGAUCACUUAGCUAGCUAGCUAUCUAGGAUCCACAUGCAUGCACUAACACUAGCUUAAGGCAGAAACAUUCACUUAAGUAUACCAGAAGCAAAGAUAUCAUCGAGUUCAACAUGGUCAUGAUAUUAUAAGCGCGUUCAUAUAACACCACAAAAGCAAAUCACUCUUAGAUUAAGUUCAGGACGAAGAAUGACAUGAGAGGAAGUACUAAGAGCAUGAACUAGCUAAAUCACCCCUGCUGCUCCCUCUGAGGUAAAAUAACAUAGAACAUGUAUAGCUCUCCCGAUUGAUCAAACUGGAGCAUGCAGAUGAACCUGUCACCUAUGCGUGGCCUGCGCUUCUCAUCGCUGCCCCCUAGUACUUCUCUGGGAUCGUAAACAAUUUUGCUCCAAUCUUUCACUAUUAAGCAAUCAUCGCUUUCAGAAAUCCUGAAUUCACUCGUGUUCCAUGUAGGAUAUCUUGGCCAUAAGCUAACCAUUGAUAUGAGACCUUUAGUCUCGAUCCACUGAGGCACAACUGUCAUCGGGAGUCCCUGUUGAAGAACAUCGUAUAGUAAUUAAUAAACUUAGCAAUGAAAGUUUAGCUUUAAAAAUAAUGUAUGCAAAAGAUGCACUAAGGACAAAUAGUAAAAAUCUUAUCAUCUUUCCAUUAUAGAUGUGACCGUAGUUCAAUACGAUCACUAUUGGUCGGACGUUUUGAGUACUAACAUUUCUAAGUGCAGGAAGAAAAUUUGUCUUGACAGUAUGAAGAUCCUCAAGCCAUGAAACAUAAUGACUUAUCUCCUCGCAGUUUAAUUCAUCCCUGGGGCAGUAGUAGGUCCUGUCUACCAAGCGUCAAACAUGUUUGCUUGAACCGAAAUAAGCUGACGAUACAAAUUAGUUGUCAACUAUUUUUGAAUAAACAGUAUGAAAGACAUAAACAUAUGCAUGCAUGUGGUUGAGAAAAACUCACAUAAUGGUAGAACUGGAGGCGUUUGCACAUCGACCCAGAUGUCUCUAUUACCUUCAAUAUCAUCUUCCGGACGAAUAUCAAAGGUGAUAACCAUAUCAGGCUCAAAUGCAUAAGCCUUGCAUAGUGCUUGCAAGUUUCGCAUUCAAAAUGGGUGUAUGUGUCUCCAUUGUAUAAUUUGACGUUGAAAGUAUACCCAUGCUCGGUCUUCAAGUAAACUCUCUUUACCUCCAUAUCAUCUAUAGCACUAAAACCUACCUUAUCCAAGACAAAAAUUCGAGCAUGGCAGGGGAUGCGCUAGUAGAAUAGUGAAAAUUUAAAAUUAUAAGUUCAAGCAAAUGAUGCAUAAGUCAUGCUUUAUUAGGAAAAAAAUACUUGCCGGUGUGACUUACUGUAUCCACUUUGAAUGUCUCAUCCAGCUUGAUGCUGAAGCUCCUAUUGUCAUCAAGGAAAUUUCUAUCGCACAGGCCGCGUUGGUCUUCACAGUGUUCGCACAUAAUGAAAUCUUUUUCAUCGUCAGACGACAUUUCCUAUGUUCAUAUAAGUGAAACAUUAAACACUUACUAUCUAACAUUAAUUAAUAUCUAACUAAUUCUAAUAUUCAUCUAACAUUUGACAUUAAUAUCUAACAUAUAUUUCUAUCUAAUUCAUCUAACAUUUGACAUUAAUCUAACAUUUAUAUAAACUAAAUAUAUAUAUAAAAAUAAAAAACAGAAAAAAUAAACUAGUUAAGUUCUAUAUAUAUAGGUGAAACAUUACUAGUUCUAUUAUUUCAACUAAUACAACUAGUUAUAUUAAUUCAACAAGUUCUAUUAAUUAAUUCAAUUACUAAUUAAUUCAACUAAGCAUUUACUAAAAAUAAACUAGUUAUAUUAAUUCAAUUAGUUCAAAUCUCAUGCAUAUANNNNNNNNNNNNNNNNNNNNNNNNNNNNNNNNNNNNNNNNNNNNNNNNNNNNNNNNNNNNNNNNNNNNNNNNNNNNNNNNNNNNNNNNNNNNNNNNNNNNNNNNNNNNNNNNNNNNNNNNNNNNNNNNNNNNNNNNNNNNNNNNNNNNNNNNNNNNNNNNNNNNNNNNNNNNNNNNNNNNNNNNNNNNNNNNNNNNNNNNNNNNNNNNNNNNNNNNNNNNNNNNNNNNNNNNNNNNNNNNNNNNNNNNNNNNNNNNNNNNNNNNNNNNNNNNNNNNNNNNNNNNNNNNNNNNNNNNNNNNNNNNNNNNNNNNNNNNNNNNNNNNNNNNNNNNNNNNNNNNNNNNNNNNNNNNNNNNNNNNNNNNNNNNNNNNNNNNNNNNNNNNNNNNNNNNNNNNNNNNNNNNNNNNNNNNNNNNNNNNNNNNNNNNNNNNNNNNNNNNNNNNNNNNNNNNNNNNNNNNNNNNNNNNNNNNNNNNNNNNNNNNNNNNNNNNNNNNNNNNNNNNNNNNNNNNNNNNNNNNNNNNNNNNNNNNNNNNNNNNNNNNNNNNNNNNNNNNNNNNNNNNNNNNNNNNNNNNNNNNNNNNNNNNNNNNNNNNNNNNNNNNNNNNNGGCGCGACGACGGCGACGGGGACGGGACGCGCGGCGACGAAGACGGAACAGAGAGGAACUAACUGAAAAUUUUCGUAAGUGAUGUAUAUAUAGGAGAGGCCUUUAGUACCGGUUGGAUCCACCAACCGGUACUAAAGGCCAACUUUGGCCCGGCCAAGAGGCGGGAAGAGCAGGCCUUUAGUACCGGUUGGUGGCUUCGACCGGUACUAAAGGUCACCCUUUAGUACCGGGUGGAGCCACCAACCGGUACUAAAGGUGGUGCGCUGCCUGCACAAAGUUUAGUCCCACCUCACCGGGCGAAGGGCAGCCGCACUGGUUUAUAAACCCAGCCGCGGCUGCCCUUUCGAACUCCUAUAUAAAGCAGGCUUCUGGGCCUAAAUACGGCGCGCUGCCCUGUGAGUCUGCUGGGCCUUGUGAGCCUGAAAUUGCACGCCCGUGGUCUAGCAGGCCCCAGGGCAGCGCCCUAAAUUUUUUGAUAUAGAUUUUUUCUUUUCUGCUUUAUUUUUUCUUCUAUUUAUUUCUGAGUAGUUUUUUCUUUUCUGCUAUUUAUUUUCUUCUAUUUAUUUCUGAGUAGUUUUUUUAUAUAGUUUUUUUCUUUUGUGCUAUAUUUUUUUUCUUUUCUGCUAUUUUUUCUUUUCUACUUUAUUUAUUUUCUUCUAUUCAUUUAUUUUUAUAUACCAUGCCAAGUUGAUGGUUAAAACUUUAUGGUUUAUUUCUGAGUAGUUUUAAUAAGUUAUUAAAAAUAAAAAAGAGGUGCAAUGCUCGUUGAUUAGCUUCAAGCCUUUCAGAAUAGUGUAAACUGCACUACACAUAGCUCCGUGCAGUCUACCAUAUUCCUCAAGGCUUGAAGCUAAGCAACGUGAGCAUUGAGCCUCUUCUUCAUCGUCUCUGCACUCAGGGCUUAUAAACCGCUCCUAGUCCCUCUCUCUUCGCGAGGUGGGACUAAAAAACAGCUUACUAAGAAACUGUAGUACUGGUUCAUGCCAUGAACCGGUACUAAAGGUGCUCGUGGGGCCCCAGCCUUACCUGACACAACCUCAUUAGUACCAGUUCGUCGCACGAACCGGUGCUAAAUGUUCGCCACGAACCGGUACUAAAGAGCUCCUCCCGCCUACCAGUUGGAACCGGCACUAAUGGACACAUUAGUGCUGGCUCAAAUUCAAACCGCGACUAAUGUAUCUCAUUUUGUAGUGCUUUUCAAUUUCAGGGUCAUUUAGCUCAAAACAAAUCAUUAAAUGCAUGAAAAAUAGCAAAUGAAGGCAGAAAUGGUUGAAAGUUGAUGGCGUCGCUUUGAAUGGUGCAUACUGAAUGCACAAAAAGUGUGGAGUUGUAAUAAGUUAAAAAAAUGAAAUGCCUUUGUAACACAUGAGUUUAAUUUCGUCAGAAACCCGAAUACUUUCGAAAGAGAUUGUCCAGUUUUUGCCGUAACCCUCUCUACUUUUUUGAACAUGCUAUGUGGGUGAAAUGAUGAUACCAUGCCAAGUUUCAACUUUUUCAGAGAUCAUUUGUAGUGCUUUUCAAUUUCCAGGUCAUUUAGUUCUCAAAACAAACCAUUAAAUGCAUGAAAAAUAGCAAAUGAAGGCAGAAAUGGUUGACAGUUGAUGGCGUCGCUUUGAGUGGUGCAUACUGAACGCAAAAAAUAUAAGAGCAUUUAGAUCAUUAUCUUAUAUUUCUUUACAGUAUGAAUUGUCAAUAUGAUCUUAUACAUCAAAAAUACUUUGAUCAUCAAUGAUCUUUUUGUAUACAAUCUGAAUUGUCAAUAUGAGUCCUCAACGAUUUAUAAACCAGUGAAGACUCAUAUUGCGGCCACAAAUUCUACACAUAGAGUUCAAUGAAGACCAAGUGCUUGUGAUAGUUUGAGAAGUAACAUAUUUAAGGUGGUAAAAGCCUUGUUAGGGGAGCGAGGUGGGACUAAAAACAGCUUGCCAUAACCUCAUUAGUACCGGUUCGUCGUACGAACCGGCACUAAAUGGUGAUGGUGGGGCCAUAGCCUGACCGCAGGCUUCCACAGCCUCUUUAGUACCGGUUCGUGCGAUGAACCGGCACUAAAGGUUCGCCAUGAACCGGUACUAUUGAUCGCCGCCACAAACCGGUACUAUUGAUCUCAUUAGUGCCGGUUUUUUUACAAACCGGCACUAAUGUGCUUCACAUUUGAACGUUUUUCUACUAGUGAUUAUUGGUCUUGCUUCUAUUGUCGUGCCUCCUAGUGAUCCUUUAGAACAAUAUUUGCUAGACCAUGAAAAUGAUAUGUUUAUGAAUGAAAGAAGGGAAAUAGAUGAAGUAUUCUUUAAGCAGGGACCUAUUCUAAAACACAACUUGCCUGUUGAAAUCCUAGGGGAUCCUCCUCCACCCAAGGGAGAUCCCGUGUUUGAGCUUAAACCAUUACCUGAUACUCUUAAAUAUGCUUAUCUUGAUGAAAAGAAGAUAUAUCCUUUUAUUAUUAGUGCUAACCUUUCAGAGCAUGAAGAAGAGAAAUUAUUGAAAACUCCGAAGAAGUACCGCGCUGCUAUUGGAUAUACUCUGGAUGAUCUUAAGGGCAUUAGUCCCACUCUAUGUCAACACAAAAUAAAUUUGGAGAAAGACGCCAAACCAGUUAUUGAUCAUCAACGACAGCUAAAUCCUAAGAUGAAAGAAGUGGUAAGAAAGGAAAUACUAAAGCUCCUUGAGGCAAGUGUCAUUUAUCCCAUUGCUAAUAGUCAGUGGGUAAGUCCUAUCCAUUGUGUCCCUAAGAAGGGAGAGAUUACUGUCGUUCCUAACGAUAAAGAUGAAUUGAUCCUACAAAGAAUUAUUACAUGUUAUAGAAUGGUAAUUGAUUUCCGCAAAUUAAAUAAGGCUACUAAAAAAGAUCAUUACCCGUUACCUUUUAUUGAUCAAAUGCUAGAAAGAUUAUCCAAACAUACACAUUUUUGCUUUCUAGACCACUUUUACUUGCCCUUUCGGUACUUUUGCUUAUAGACGUAUGCCUUUUGGUUUAUGUAAUGCACCUGCUACCUUUCAAAGAUGCAUGAUGGCUAUAUUCUAUGACUUUUGUUAAAGGAUAUGUGAGGUUUUCAUGGAUGAUUUCUCCGUUUAUUGAUCCUCUUUUGAUGAUUGCUUGAGCAACCUUGAUUGAGUUUUGCAGAGAUGUGAAGAAACUAAUCUUGUCUUGAAUUGGGAGAAGUGCCACUUUAUGGUUAAUGAAGGUACUGUCUUGGGGCAGAAAAUUUCUGAAAGAGGUAUUGAAGUUGAUAAAGCUAAAGUUGAUGCUAUUGAAAAGAUGCCAUGUCCCAAGGACAUCAAAGGUAUAAGAAGUUUUUUGGGUCACGCCGAUUUCUAUAGGAGGUUCAUUAAGGACUUCUCAAAAAUUUCUCGGCCUCUUUCUAAUCUAUUACAAAAAGAUAUACCUUUUGUCUUUGAUGAUGAUUGUGUAGAAGCAUUUGAAAUACUUAAGAAAGCAUUAAUUUCUGCACCUAUUGUUCAGCCACCUGAUUGGAAUUUACCCUUUGAAAUUAUGUGUGAUGCUAGUGAUUAUGUUGUAGGUGCUGUUCUAGGGCAAAGAGUUGAUAAAAAAAUUAAAUGUUAUUCAAUAUGCUAGUAAAACCCUAGACAAUGCCCAGAGAAAUUAUGCUACUAUCGAAAAAGAAUUUUUAGCAGUUGUAUUUGCCUGUGAUAAGUUCAGACCUUAUAUUGUUGAUUCUAAAGUAACUAUUCACACUAAUCAUGUUGCUAUUAAAUAUCUUAUGGAAAAGAAAGAUGCUAAACCUAGACUUAUUAGAUGGGUUCUCUUGCUACAAGAAUUUGAUUUGCAUAUUAUUGAUAGAAAGGGAGCUGAGAACCCCGUUGCAGACAACUUGUCUAGGUUAGAAAAUGUUCUUGAUGACCCACUACCUAUUGAUGAUAGCUUUCCCGAUGAACAAUUAAAUGUCAUAAAUGCUUCUUGUACUGCUCCAUGGUAUGCUGAUUAUGCUAAUUACAUUGUUGCUAAAUUUAUACCACCUAGUUUCACAUACCAACAAAAGAAAAAGUUUUUCUAUUAAGACAUUACUUCUGGGAUGACCCACAUCUUUAUAAAGGAGUAGAUGGUGUUAUUAGACGUUGUGUACCUGAGCAUGAACAGGAACAUAUCCUGGGCAAGUGUCACUCCGAAGCUUAUGGGGGACACCAAGCUGGAGAUAGAACUGCACAUGAGGUAUUCCAAUCUGGUUUUUAUUGGCCUACUCUCUUCAAGGAUGCUCGUAAGUCUGUCUUGUCUUGUGAUGAAUGUCAAAGAAUUGGUAAUAUUAGUAGACGUCAAGAAAUUCCUAUGAAUUAUUAACUUGUUAUUGAACCAUUUGACGUUUGGAGCUUUGAUUAUAUGGGACCAUUUCCUGCCUCUAAUGGAUAUACACAUAUUUUAGUUGCUGUUGAUUAUGUUACUAAGUGGGUAGAAGCUAUUCCAACUAGUAGCGCUGAUCAUAACACCUGUAUUAAGACGCUUAAAGAAGUUAUUUUUCCGAGGUUUGGAGUCCCUAGAUAUUUAAUGACUGAUGGUGGUUCACAUUUUAUUCAUGGUGCCUUUCGUAAAAUGCUUGCUAAGUAUGAUGUUAAUCAUUGAAUUGCAUCUCCAUAUCAUCCACAGUCUAGCGGUCAAGUAGAAUUGAGUAAUAGAGAGCUUAAAUUAAUUUUGCAAAAGACUGUUAAUAGGUCUAGAAAGAAUUGGUCCAGGAAACUUGAUGAUGCAUUAUGGGCCUAUAGAACUGGAUAUAAAAAUCCUAUGGGUAUGUCUCCGUAUAAAAUGGUUUAUGGAAAAGCAUGUCACUUACCUCUCGAACUAGAACAUAAGGCAUAUUGGGCCAUUAAAGAGCUCAAUUAUGAUUUCAAACUUGCCGGCGAGAAGAGGUUAUUUGACAUUAGCUCACUUGAUGAAUGGAGAACCCAAGCCUAUGAAAAUGCCAAGUUUUUUAAAGAAAAAGUUAAAAGAUGGCAUGACAAAAGGAUACAAAAGCGUGAGUUUAAUAUAGGUGAUUAUGUGUUGCUAUACAACUCUCGUUUAAGAUUUUUUUCAGGAAAACUUCUCUCUAAAUGGGAAGGCCUUUACGUUAUCGAGGAGGUCUAUCGUUCCGGUGCCAUAAAAAUCAACAACUUCAAAGGCACAAAUCCAAAGGUGGUGAACGGUCAAAGAAUCAAACAUUAAAUCUCAGGUAAUCCUAUAAAUGUUGAAACUAAUAUUAUUGAAACCGUAACCCCGGAGGAAUACAUAAGGGACACUUUUCGGAACGUUUCAGACUCCAAAAAGGAAUAGGUACGUGGUACGGUAAGUAAACCGACUCCAAAACAGUUCUAAAGGCAAUUUUUCUCCGUUUUGGAAUAUUUAGAAAAAUAGGAAAAUAAAAAGCAGUACGGGAAGGACACGAGGCUUCCACGAGGGUGGGAGGCGCGCCCUAACCCCCUACGCGCGCGCCCUGCCUCGUGGGCACCUCGUGCGCUCUCCAGACUCUAUUUUCUUACACGAUACAUAUUUUGGUCGGUAAAAAUUCAUUAGAUAAUCUCCCGAAGGUUUUGACUCUCGUAUCACACAAAUAUCCUCUGUUCUCGUUUCGAGCUGUUUUUCUGACAGAUCUAGGCCACCAUGACGUCUCCAAGUGCCCCCAAGGACAAGUUCUUUGAGAAGGUCAUCAAUCCCUUCCUUGCGGAGGUGCUGCAACACCCUCAAACCAUUGAGAUGCAUGAGGGGGUGCUGCACAUCCGCGAUGUUGAGGGACCAAGGAGGACCGGAAGUGUGGAUACAAGGCUGGAAACAAUGGAGCAACAAGUCUUCAAGUGUCAGGAGAUGGUGGAGCGGGGACUCGGUACCACAUAAUGAUCACAGAGUUCACCAACAACCACAAGUUGGAUGUCAAGGACAUUGGGGAGGCCAUCUUAAAGCUUCACGAGAAAAUCAAGCACCUCCAAGCCCAGAUCUACGACCUGCAAAACAAAAACUAUGAGUAUGAAUAUAGAUUCAAGAGGAUGAGUUUGCCUGCAGAUUUGAGGAUCCCGGAGACUCGAUCAUCCUUCUAUGAUGGUGAGCCCAUGCCUUGGAAGAUGGAUGACAAGCCUACAUCAUCAAGAACUCCAUCUCCUUCACCAUCAAAAGAGACAUGAUCACAUGGGUAUGGGCACUCCCCUUGGCAACUGCCAAGCUUGGGGGAGGUGCCCCGGUAUCGUAUCACCAUCACACUCCUAUCUUUACUGUUUUUCUUAGUUCGAUCCUUUUGGUAAUAUCUUGAUUUAGUAGAAUAAAGUUUUUAGUAUGAUUCCCCUAUGUAAUCGAGUCCGUGAGCUAUCUAUAAUAAAGAUUAGUGUUGAGUCAAGGGCUUGAUUAUCUUGCUAUGAUCUUGAGUGAAAAAAGAGAGAAAAGGAAAGAAUAAAAAGAAAUAAAGAGAUCAUAUUGAUCUUAUGGAGAGUAAUGACUUCACAUAGAGAGAGUAUGAUGAUUAAAAGUUAUUGUGAGUUGACAAACAUAGUUUUGGUCAUCGUUGCAAUUAAUAGGAAGUAAAAUGAAAGAGAUGUUUCACAUAUAAAUAUACUAUCUUGGACAUCUUUUAUGAUUGUGAGAACUCAUUAAAAUAUGACAUGCUAAAGAGUUGAUAUUGGACAAGGAAGACAAUGUAAUGGGUUAUGUUUUCUUAUAUCCGAGAUAAAGUAUAUUGUUAUGGAUCAUCCAACAUGUUGAGCUUGCCUUUCCCCCUCAUGCUAGCCAAAUUCUUUGCACCAAGUAGAGAUACUACUUGUGCUUCCAAAUACUCUUAAACCCAGUUGUGCCAUGAGAGUCCACCAUAUCUAUGAAGGAAAUUGUUGGGGAACGUAGUAAUUUCAAAAUUUUCCUACGCACACGCAAGAUCAUGGUGAUGCAUAGCAACGAGAGGGGAGAGUGUUGUCUACGUACCCUCGUAGACCGAAGCGGAAGCGAUCACAACGUAGAGGAAGUAGUCGUACGUUCUCCUCGCGAUCCAACCGAUCCCAGCGCCGUUACUCCGGCGCCUCCGAGUUCUUGACACACGUACAGCUCGGUGACGCUCCUCGGGCUCCGAUCCAGCAAAGCUCCGGGGAGAGAGAGUUCCGUCAGCACGACGGCGUGGUGACGAUCUUGAUGUUCUACCGACGCAGGGCUUCGCCUAAGCACCGCUACGGUAUGACCGAGGUGGUAUAUGGUGGAGGGGGGCACCGCACACGGCUAAGGAACGAUCUCAAGGAUCAACUUGUGUGUUCUAGGGUGCCCCCUGCCCCCGUAUAUAAAGGAGCCAAGGGGGAGGGGGCCGGCCGGCCAAGAGGAGGCGCGCCAGGGAGUCCUACUCCCUCCGGGAGUAGGAUUCCCCCUCCAAUCCUAGUUGGAAUAGGAUUCACCGGAGGGGGGAAAGAGAGAGAGGGGGCCGGCCCACCUUUCCUAGUCCUAGUAGGACUAGGGGAAGGGGGGAGGCGCGCGGCCACCUAGGGCUGGUCCUUUCUCCUUUCCACCAAGGCCCACUAUGGCCCAUAUAGUUCCCGGGGGGUUCCGGUAACCUCCCGGUACUCCGGUAAAUUCCCGAUUUCACUCGGAACAUUUCCGAUGUCCAAAUGUAGGCUUCCAAUAUAUCAAUCUUUACGUCUCGACCAUUUCGAGACUCCUCGUCAUGUCCGUGAUCACAUCCGGGACUCCGAACUCCUUCGGUACAUCAAAAUACACAAACUCAUAAUAUAACCGUCAUCGAAACCUUAAGCGUGCGGACCCUACGGUUCGAGAACAAUGUAGACAUGACCGAGACACGUCUCUGGUCAAUAACCAAUAGCGGAACCUGGAUGCCCAUAUUGGUUCCUACAUAUUCUACGAAGGUCUUUAUCGGUCAAACCGCAUAACAACAUACGUUGUUCCCUUUGUCAUCGGUAUGUUACUUGCCCGAGAUUCGAUCGUCGGUAUCCAAUACCUAGUUCAAUCUCGUUACCGGCAAGUCUCUUUACUCGUUUCGUGAUACAUCAUCUCACAGCUAACUCAUUAGUUGUUAUGCUUGCAAGGCUUAGUGAUGUGCAUUACCGAGAGGGCCCAGAGAUACCUCUCCGACAAUUGGAGUGACAAAUCCUAAUCUCGAAAUACGCCAACCCAACAUCUGCCUUUGGAGACACCUGUAGUACUCCUUUAUAAUCACCCAGUUACGUUGUGACGUUUGGUAGUACCCAAAUUGUUCCUCCGGUAAACGGGAGUUGCAUAAUCUCAUAGUUAUAGGAACAUGUAUAAGUCAUGGAUAAAAGCAAUAGCAACAUACUAAACGAUCGGGUGCUAAGCUAAUGGAAUGGGUCAUGUCAAUCAGAUCAUUCAACUAAUGAUGUGACCUUGUUAAUCAAAUGACAACUCCUUUGUCUAUGGUUAGGAAACUUAACCAUCUUUGAUUAACAAGCUAGUCUAGUAGAGGCAUACUAGUGACACUCUUGUUUGUCUAUGUAUUCACACAUGUAUUAUGUUUCCGGUUAAUACAAUUCUAGCAUGAAUAAUAAACAUUUAUCAUGAAAUAAGGAAAUAAAUAAUAACUUUAUUAUUGCCUCUAGGGCAUAUUUCCUUCAGUCUCCCACUUGCACUAGAGUCAAUAAUCUAGAUCACAUCACCAUGUGAUUCACAUCGAUAGUUCACAUCAUCAUGUGAUUAACACCCAUAGUUCACAUUGCCAUGUGACCAACAUCCAAAGGGUUUACUAGAUUUAGUAAUCUAGUUCACAUCACUAUGUGAUUAACACCCAAAGAGUACUUAGGUGUGAUCAUGUUUUGCUUGUGAGAGAAUCUUAGUCAACGGGUCUUUCACAUUCAGAUCCGUUAUGUAUUUUGCAAUUUUUUUUAUGUCUACAAUGCUCUGCACGGAGCUACUCUAGCUAAUUGCUCCCACUUUCAAUAUGUAUCUAGAUCGAGACUUAAAGCCAUCCAGAUCGGUGUCAAAACUUGCAUCGACGUAACCCUUUACGACGAACCUUUUAUCACUUCCAUAAUCGAGAAACAUAUCCUUAUUCCAUUAAGGAUAAUUUUGACCGCUGUCCAGUGAUCUAUUCCUAGAUCACUAUUGUACUCCCUUGCCAAACUCAGUGCAGGGUAUACAAUAGAUCUGGUACACAGCAUGGCAUACUUUAUAGAACCUAUGGCCAAGGCAUAGGGAAUGACUUUCAUUCUCUUUCUAUCUUCUGCCGUGGCCGGGUUUUGAGUCUUACUCAAUUUCACACCUUUGUAACACAGGCAAGAACUCUUUCUUUGACUGUUCCAUUUUGAACUACUUCAAAAUCUUGUCAAGGUAUGUACUCAUUGAAAAAACUUAUCAAGCGUCUUGAUCUAUCUCUAUAGAUCUUAAUGCUCAAUAUGUAAGCAGCUUCACCGAGGUCUUUCUUUGAAAAACUCCUUUUAAACACUCCUUUAUGCUUUGCAGAAUAAUUCUACAUUAUUUCCGAUCUACAAUAUGUCAUUCACAUAUACUUAUCAGAAAUAUUGUAGUGCUCCCACUCACUUUCUAGUAAAUACAGGCUUCACUGCAAGUCUGUAUAAACUAUAUGCUUUGAUCAACUUAUCAAAGCGUAUAUUCCAACUCCGAGAUGCUUGCACCAGUCCAUAGAUGGAUCGCUGGAGCUUGCACACUUUGUUAGCUCCCUUUGGAUCGAUAAAACCUUCUGGUUGCAUCAUAUACAACUCUUCCUCCAGAAACCCAUUCAGGAAUGCAGUUUUUACAUCCAUUUGCCAAAUUUCAUAAAUUGUGGCAAUUGCUAACAUGAUUCGGACAGACUUAAGCAUCGCUACAGUUGAGAAAAUCUCAUUGUAGUCAACACCUUGAACUUGUCAAAAACCUUUUUGCGACAAGUCGAGCUUUGUAGAUAGUAACACUACUAUCAACGUCCGUCUUCCUCUUGAAGAUCCAUUUAUUUUCUAUUGCUUGCCGACCCUCGGGCAAGUCAACCAAAGUCCACACUUUGUUUUCAUACAUGGAUCCCAUCUCAGAUUUCAUGGCUUCUAGCCAUUUAGCGGAAUCUGGGCUCACCAUCGCUUCUUCAUAGUUCGUAGGUUCGUCAUGAUCUAGUAGCAUGACUUCCAGAACAGGAUUGCCGUACCACUCUGGUGCGGAUCUCACUCUGGUUUACCUACGAGAUUCGGUAGUGACUUGAUCUGAAGUUACAUGAUCAUCAUCAUUAGCUUCCUCACUAAUUGGUGUAGGAAUCACUGGAACUGAUUUCUGUGAUGAAAUACUUUCCAAUUCGGGAGAAGGUAUAAAUUACCUUAUCAAGCUCCACUUUCCUCCCACUCACUUCUUUCAAGAGAAACUCCUUCUCUAGAAAGGAUCCAUUUAUAAGCAACGAAUGUUUUGCCUUCGGAUCUGUGAUAGAAGGUAUACCCAACAAUUUCCUUUGGGUAUUCUAUGAAGACGCACUUCUCCGAUUUGGGUUUGAGCUUAUCAGGAUGAAACUUUUUCACAUAAGCAUCGCAGCCCCAAACUUUAAGAAACGACAACUUUGGUUUCUUGCUAAACCACAGUUCAUAUAGUGUCGUCUCAACGGAUUUAGAUGGUGCCCUAUUUAACGUGAAUGCAGCUGUCUCUAAUGCAUGAUCCCAAAACGAUAUUGGUAAAUCGGUAAGAAACAUCAUAGAUUGUACUAUAUCCAAUAAAGUACGGUUAUGACGUUCGGACACACCAUUAUGAUGUGGUGUUCCAGGUGGCAUGAAUUUGUGAAACUAUUUCACGUUGUUUUAAUUGAAGACCAAACUCGUAACUCAAAUAUUUGUCUCCACGAUCAGAUCGUAGAAACCUUUAUUUUCUUGUCAUGAUGAUUUUUUCACUUCACUCUGAAAUUCUUUGAACCUUUCAACUAUUUCAGACUUAUGUUUCAUCAAGUAGAUAUACCCAUAUCUGCUCAAAUCAUCUGUGAAGGUCAGAAAAUAACGAUACCUGCCGCGAACCUUAACACUCAUUGGAUCGCAUACAUCAGUAUGUAUUAUUUCUAAUAAGUCAGUUGCUCGCUCCACUGUUCCGGAGAACAGAGUCUUAGUCAUCUUGCCCAUGAGGCAUGGUUCGCAAGCAUCAAGUGAUUCAUAAUCAAGUGAUUCCGAAAUCCCAUCAGCAUGGAGUUUCUUCAUGCGCUUUACACCAAUAUGACCUAAACGGCAGUGCCACAAAUAAGUUGCACUAUCAUUAUUAACUUUGCAUCUUUUGGUUUCAAUAUUAUGAAUAUGUGUAUCACUACGAUCGAGAUCCAAUAAACCAUUUUCAUUGGGUGUGUAACCAUAUAAGGUUUUAUUCAUGUAAACAGAACAACAGUUUAUUCUCUUACUUAAAUGAAUAACCGUAUUGCAAUAAACAUGAUCAAAUCAUAUUCAUGCUCAACGCAAACACCAAAUAACAUUUAUUUGGGUUCAACACUAAUCCCGAAAGUAUAGGGAGUGUGCGAUGAUGAUCAUAUCAAUCUUGAAACUACUUUCAACACACAUCGUCACUUCACCCUUAACUAGUUUCUGUUUAUUCUACAACUCCCGUUUCGAGUUACUACUCUUAGUAACUGAACCAGUACCAAAUACCGAGGGGUUGCUAUAAACACUAGUAAAGUACACAUCAAUAACAUGUAUAUCAAAUAUACCUUUGUUUACUUUGCCAUCCUUCUUAUCCGCCAAAUACUUGGGGUAGUUCUGCUUCCAGUAACCAGUCCCUUUGCAGUAAAAGCACUUAGUCUCAGGCUUAGGUCUAGACUUGGGAUUCUUCACUUGAGCAGCAACUUGCUUGCCGUUCUUCUUGAAGUUCCCUUCUAUCCCUUUGCCCUUUUCUUGAAACUAGUGGUCUUGUUAACCAUCAACACUUGAUGUUCUUUCUUGAUUUCUACCUUCAUCGAUCUCAUCAUCAUGAAAAACUCGGGAAUUAUUUUCAUCAUCCCUUGCAUACUAUAGUUCAUCACGAAGUUCUACUAACUUGGUGAUGGUGACUAGAGAAUUCUGUCAAUCACUAUCUUAUCUGGAAGAUUAACUCCCACUUGAUUCAAGCGAUUGUAGUACCCAGACAAUCUGAGCACAUGCUCACUAGUCGAGCGAUUCUCCUCCAUCUUUUAGCUAUAGAACUUGUUGGAGACUUCAUAUCUCUUAACUCGGGUAUUUGCUUGAAAUAUUAACUUCAACUCCUGGAACAUCUCAUAUGGUCCAUGAUGUUCAAAACAUCUUUGAAGUCCCGAUUCUAAGCCAUAAAGCAUGGUGCACAAAACUAUCAAGUAGUCAUCAUAUUGAGCUAGCCAAACGUUCAUAACGUCUGCAUCUGCUCCUGCAAUAGGUCUGUCACCUAGCGGUGCAUUAAGGACAUAAUUCUUCUGUGCAACAUUGAGGAUAAACCUCAGAUCGCGGAUCCAAUCCGCAUCAUUGCUACUAACAUUUUUCAACACAAUUUUCUCUAGGAACAUAUGAAAAUAAACAUAUGAAAGCAACAACGCGAGCUAUUGAUCUACAACAUAAUUUGCAAAAUACUACCAGGACUAAGUUCAUGAUAAAUUUAAGUUCAAUUAAUCAUAUUACUUAAGAACUCCCACUUAGACAGACAUCUCUCUAGUCAUCUAAGUGAUCACGUGAUCCAAAUCAACUAAACCAUAACCGAUCAUCACGUGAGAUGGAGUAGUUUUCAAUGGUGAACAUCUUAUGUUGAUCAUAUCUAGUAUAUGAUUCACGCUCGACCUUUCGGUCUCCGUGUUCCGAGGCCAUAUCUGCAUAUGCUAGGCUCGUCAAGUAUAACCUGAGUAUUCUGCGUGUGCAAAACUGGCUUGCACCCGUUGUAGAUGGACGUAGAGCUUAUCACACCCGAUCAUCACGUGGUGUCUCGGCACGACGAACUUUGGCAACGGUGCAUACUCAGGGAGAACACUACUUGAUAAUUUUAGUGAGAGAUCAUCUUAAAAUGCUACCGUCAAUCAAAGCAAAAUAAGAUGCAUAAAGGAUAAACAUCACAUGCAAUCAAUAUAAGUGAUAUGAUAUGGCCAUCAUCAUCUUGUGCUUGUGAUCUCCAUCUCCGAAGCACCGUCGUGAUCACCAUCGUCACCGGCGCGACACCUUGAUCUCCAUCGUAGCAUCGUUGUCGUUUACGCCAUCUAUUGUAGCGACCUGACCCAAAAUCGGUCAAAUCUCUGUGUCUGUACCAUCCCAAGAUCAUGCUGGUACUCACAGUACAUCGAUAAAGUAAUCAAAGUUCAAUCACACCUGAAUAUCAUUAAACGAUUCUCAUAUAGAGUCUUUAUUACAAGGGAAUAAAUUCGGCUCAAGGCCAACUCAUGAGAAAUAAACUACAAAUGCUGCGGAAGCGUCGAAGGUAAGCGAGUCCAUCCGACUCCAAAGGGCAAUCGCCAAGCGCAGAGCGUAGCCUCACUCCUGAUCGGAAUAUAUCUCUGCAACAUAAUACGUUGCAGCCAUGUAGGUCAGCUUUUGGAAUAAGCUGGCAAGUCAUGAAGAAUAACAAUAAUAAAGUUACUAACUCUAUAUGCAUUUUGGCUGUGGAGCUCUAAGUUUCAUCAUUUUGCGAAAAGCAAAUUUUAUCCUACUACAGUGGACUUGCUUGCAAAUUACUACAAUUGUUGGUAGUUAUUGAGAUGGUUCCGCCAACCAAUAUCUCGUUCCCAAUUAUUAAGUCAUAUAAACCCUCAAAUUUAUUCAUUUGUUUUAGUGUUGAGAUAUCCGAAUACUUCCAAGUUCCAGAGGCUCAAAUGUCCGUAACCGGGGACACGGCUAAUCGAUUAGAUCUUUAACUCUGCAGAGGGUUGCGCACUUUCCCCGCAAGAAUCAUUCCCUCCUUUAAAGUCUUCGCACUUCAUGGUGUUUGAAGACGGGACGAAUGAAACAGGGUCUUCCAAAGAGUUCUUCUGGCCACUGCCGGUACCCAUCCAAUCCUACCGUUCGUCUACUUCUCGUAGUACCGUCCAGCCAGCGUCACUACUAGGGUCAACCCAGCCAGAGCCCAUAAUGGCUUGCGGCUGCACAGGUAAGCUUCCGGUCAUGGGGCAUCCAUCCUUCUCUUUGUGGCUGGGUGAAGCUUUCCGCAGGAUGUCAUGGCGCUUCUCCAUGCAUCCCGGCCACCACUGGGUGCUCCAGGGUGCCCGUCAACCGUCCUCCACCCAGUAGUGAUUUUCCGAAGUCCAUCUUGAUCAUUGUAGUCCAUGGGGUUGUCAUCAUCAUUGACUCUCACAUCUUGCUUAUGAAUUUCACUCAUCCCAAAUCCCGUCUACGAGCAUAGCAAAAUAACUACUACGUCCCGGGGUCAUGGUAACAAGGGGGUUGGUUCAUCCUACCACAUGAUACUACUCAAGUUUAAUGACUUCAAGAUUUCACUACUGCAUGCAUGGUGGGGUGGUGACAACUACUAAUGCACAAAACAUAGGUAUAGAAAUAACAUGAUCAAAACUUGCCUUGUUGUUGAUCCUCGUAAGCUAAAGAGUCGUAGUAGCAAGCUUCGCACUCCGGAAACUCUACCGAGACAAACAAUAGCACAAUAAGCACAAAGCAAUAGGAUCACACAACAUAACAAAAGUAACAUAACACAACAAAACAAUCAAAACCAAAUCCAAAAGGAAAACUCAAAGAAACCAAUUCAAGUUUUUCCCUACCCCAAACAAUAACUAAAAUAGUUUUUAUAUAACAAAAAUUCCUUAAUAUAACCUAAUCAUGGUUUUAAGUUAACUUAACAGAAAAGGUUUCACUAAGCAACUAGGAGCAAAAAGAAUUAAUUAAAAAGCUAUUAUAAAACUCAUUUUAGGCCUAAUCCAAUUUCUAUUAAGAAAAAUAAUUUAAAACUUUUAAUUAUAAAUAAAAGUUCAUCUACUAAAGUGACAGAAACUAACCUAGAAUAACUAAUCACAAGUUAAAAACAAAUUCAUUUACUAAUUUAAACAUUAGGAAAACAGGAACUAGUUAAUUAAUUAGGUUUAAUAGGAUUCUGUCUAAAACUAAUUAUUUAUUAAUCCUAAAAUACCCAAGUUAAUUUCUAGGGUUUGGCAAUGUCAAAAUAAAGUGGUGACAAAAAAGAAUCAUGCAAAAAUAAUUUUUCUAACUAAAGUUAUAGCAGAUUUACUAUUCUGACCAAAACUAAAAUAAAGCAAUUUUAAUUAUUUUUAACAUAGCUAAAUAUAUAUUCUACAGAAACUACAUAAAAUUUGCAAUACAACAAAAAAAUAAUCAUCUAAAAAUAUUAAACAGAAUAAAAGAUAUAAAUUUUUGAAAACAGAAACUAUUCGGCUAAAACAGAAAAUCAAAAUAAAAGAAAAAGGCCUAAUGGGCCUAUACUGUGCCCUGUGCGUUAGAUAGCCUAACGGGUUCUAGGGUUAACUAAAACGAACCGGCCUAAAAAAAUAAACCUAACCUAAAAAUAAACCGAUUGGACCGGCCGGUUUUAUAAUAAAAACUUACCCCUUCGGGGGUUCUAAUCCUAGUCGUUGAUCUAGGAUCGGACGGGGGAGGGUGAUGCCGGUGGCUUACCGGACUCCGGCGACGGCGGCGGCGGCGGCGAGAGUGCGUCGGGGCUUCCGGGCGUCGGGGAGCUCCGGCGAGUCGUCGGGAGGAUGCGGGGGAGCNNNNNNNNNNNNNNNNNNNNNNNNNNNNNNNNNNNNNNNNNNNNNNNNNNNNNNNNNNNNNNNNNNNNNNNNNNNNNNNNNNNNNNNNNNNNNNNNNNNNNNNNNNNNNNNNNNNNNNNNNNNNNNNNNNNNNNNNNNNNNNNNNNNNNNNNNNNNNNNNNNNNNNNNNNNNNNNNNNNNNNNNNNNNNNNNNNNNNNNNNNNNNNNNNNNNNNNNNNNNNNNNNNNNNNNNNNNNNNNNNNNNNNNNNNNNNNNNNNNNNNNNNNNNNNNNNNNNNNNNNNNNNNNNNNNNNNNNNNNNNNNNNNNNNNNNNNNNNNNNNNNNNNNNNNNNNNNNNNNNNNNNNNNNNNNNNNNNNNNNNNNNNNNNNNNNNNNNNNNNNNNNNNNNNNNNNNNNNNNNNNNNNNNNNNNNNNNNNNNNNNNNNNNNNNNNNNNNNNNNNNNNNNNNNNNNNNNNNNNNNNNNNNNNNNNNNNNNNNNNNNNNNNNNNNNNNNNNNNNNNNNNNNNNNNNNNNNNNNNNNNNNNNNNNNNNNNNNNNNNNNNNNNNNNNNNNNNNNNNNNNNNNNNNNNNNNNNNNNNNNNNNNNNNNNNNNNNNNNNNNNNNNNNNNNNNNNNNNNNNNNNNNNNNNNNNNNNNNNNNNNNNNNNNNNNNNNNNNNNNNNNNNNNNNNNNNNNNNNNNNNNNNNNNNNNNNNNNNNNNNNNNNNNNNNNNNNNNNNNNNNNNNNNNNNNNNNNNNNNNNNNNNNNNNNNNNNNNNNNNNNNNNNNNNNNNNNNNNNNNNNNNNNNNNNNNNNNNNNNNNNNNNNNNNNNNNNNNNNNNNNNNNNNNNNNCUUCGGGAUCCGGCGAUCCUCCGGCGAGUGGCGUUGCAUGGGCGAGGGGGGAAGAAGAGGGGGCGGGGCCCACGGGUCAGAGAGAGAGAGAGGGAGGGGUGAGGCGAGCGGUCGACCGAAGCCUAGGGGAUUCGGGCGAGGGGCGAGGCCGGUCGGGCGCUGGGCUGGCCUGUUGGCCUAGUGGGCCGGCUGGCUUGGGCCAGGCGCAGGGUGCGGCACUGGCUGGGCCUGGGGUGGCCUGGCUGGCGCCCCGGGGGGGUUUUUCUUUAUUUUUUUAAAUAAAACGAAAACAAAAAUAUAACAAUAUCUAUAAAUAUUUUAUAUAGGGUAUAUAUAUACCAAAAUGAUCAGGGGAAUAUUCCCUUUCAUUUGAACAUUUUUCCAAAGGCAAAAUCCAAACUUCAUAAAAAUCUAUUUUUUUCAAAUUCAAAUAAAAUUCAGAUUUGAAUUCCAAAACUUUUGGCAUUGUUUCCUCUGAUAUUUUUGGAGUGUCAUGUUUGCUCCUCUCAUACUUUUGAUCAAGUAUUUAUCAGGCUUAGUUUUUUUUGAAAUGAUUCCCACAUGCCAAAGUUUGAAAUUCAAAUUCAAAACUCAAAAUUCUCUGAAACUUCAAAUGGCAUUCAAAUUCAAACAGGAUGCAUAGGAUGCUUAGCUAUAAUUGUAAAACAUUCCAAAUAGGAAAUUUGGGAUGUUACAAACCUACCCACCUUAAGAUGAAUCUCGCCCUCGAGAUUCGGGUUGGCUAGCAAAUAGGUGCGGAUGGUCUCGAAGAAGAUCUUCUUCGCGUUCCCAGGUGGCUUCUUCCUUGGUGUGGUGACUCCACAGCACCUUGCAAAAUUUGAUGACCUUGCUGCGGGUGACUCUGCUUGCAGUCUCGAGAAUUCGGACGGGUUUCUCCUUGUAAGUCAGAUCACUGUCAAGCUGUAUGGCCUCUAGGGGCACUGUAUCUCUCAACGGAACAUCGGCCAUGUCGGCAUGGCACUUCUUCAGCUGAGAAACGUGGAAGACAUCAUGAACUCCGGACAAUCCUUCCGGCAAUUCCAACUUGUACGCAACCUCUCCACGACGUUCGAGGAUUUUGUAGGGGCCAAUGAAUCGGGGUGCUAACUUUCCCUUGACACCAAACCUCUUGAUUCCACGAAGUGGUGACACACGAAGAUAUGCUCGGUCUCCCACUUCGUAAGUCACAUCUUUGCGCUUACUGUCGGCAUAACUCUUCUGUCUUGACUGUGCUAUCUUGAGCCUGUCUCGAAUUAGCUUGACUUUCUCUUCGGAAUCCUUGAUAAGAUCGGAACCGAAAAAUGAUCGAUCUCCAACAUUAUCCCACAGCAAUGGUGUUCUACACCUUCUUCCGUAUAGAGCUUCGAAAGGGGCCAUCUUCAGACUGGAUUGAUAACUGUUGUUGUAUGAGAACUCUGCGUAUGGCAAAUUAUCAUCCCAGCUAGACCCAUAGUCUAGCACACAAGCUCUCAACAUGUCUUCCAGAAUCUGGUUGACUCUCUCGGUCUGUCCAUCUGUCUGCGGAUGAAAAGCUGUACUGAAUUCCAGCCUCGUACCCAAAGUUUCAUGCAGCUGCUUCCAAAACUUUGAGGUAAACUGCGUUCCUCUAUCUGACACGAUUUUCCUCGGAACUCCAUGCAGACAUACGAUCCUGGUCAUGUAUAUCUUGGCCAGCUUGGCACUGGUAUAGGUAGUCUUCACGGGAAUGAAGUGAGCUACCUUAGUCAAACGAUCAACUACUACCCAGAUAGAAUCAUAACCUGAACGGGUCCUGGGUAAUCCUGUGAUGAAAUCCAUACCAAGUUUCUCCCAUUUCCAAUCUGGAAUCGGCAAAGGUUGAAGUAACCCUGCUGGCUUCUGAUGUUCUGCCUUUACACGUUGACAAACAUCACAUACUGUUACGUACUCGGCAAUGUCCUUCUUCAUACCUGUCCACCAGAAACUUUGCUUCAAAUCCAGGUACAUCUUGGUGUUGCCGGGGUGAAUCGAGUACGGUGAAUCAUGAGCCUCCUGAAGAAUUAGCUUCCUGAGCUCGGGAUCAUUGGGCACAUAAAUACGAUCCUCAAACCAUAUAGUUCCGUUUUCAUCCUUACGGAAUCCUUUAGCUUUUCCUUCAUCCAUCUUUUGCUUAAUUUCAUCAAUUUCCUUGUCCGACUUCUGGGCUUCACGAAUCCUUUCGGUCAAGGUGGACUGAACUUCCAAAGUUGCAACAAAUCCUUUCGGAACUAUCUCCAGUCGGAGGUCUCUGAGGUCAUCGACUAACUCCUGGGGUAAUCCUCCUGCUGUAAGAGUAUUCACAUAACUCUUACGGCUCAAAGCAUCUGCUACAACAUUAGCUUUACCGGGGUGGUAAUGCAGUCUCAUGUCGUAGUCCUUUAUCAACUCUAGCCAUCUCCUCUGCCUGAGGUUCAAUUCCUUCUGCGUGAAGAUAUAUUUCAAACUCUUGUGAUCUGUGUAGACAUCACAACGAUUUCCGAUGAGGAAAUGUCUCCAGGUCUUGAGUGCAUGCACUACAGCUGCUAACUCCAAAUCAUGCGUGGCAUAGUUCAUCUCAUGAGGCCGUAGCUGUCUGGAGGCAUAAGCUACAACCUUACCUUCCUGCAUCAAUACUCCUCCGAGUCCUUGACGAGAAGCGUCACAAUAAACCUGGUAUUCCUUGUGCAUGUCCGGCAAAAUCAACACUGGAGCGGUGACCAACCGUUUCUUCAAUUCCUGAAAACUGGCUUCACAUUCCUCGGUCCAGACAUACUUGGCUUCCUUCUUCAACAGCUCAGUCAUGGGCUUGGCAAUCUUCGAGAAGUUCUCAAUGAACCUCCGAUAAUAUCCUGCGAGUCCGAGAAAACUGCGGAUCUCCUUGACUGAGGUGGGUGACUGCCAAUCGGUGACUGAUUCAACCUUGGCGGGAUCAACUGCUAUUCCUUCUCCUGAAAUAACAUGUCCGAGGAAUCCAACUUCCUUCAACCAAAAUUCACAUUUGCUGAAUUUGGCAUACAGCUGAUGUUCUCGAAGCUUCUCCAGAACUAGACGCAAAUGUUCCUUAUGCUCUUCCUCGCUCUUGGAGAAAAUCAAUAUAUCAUCGAUGAACACCACGACAAACUUGUCCAAAUACUCCAUGAACACCUUGUUCAUCAAAUUCAUGAAGUAUGCAGGAGCAUUAGUCAAUCCAAAUGACAUGACGGUAUACUCAUAUAAACCAUACCUGGUAGUGAAUGCUGUUUUGGGUAUAUCCUUUUCACGAAUUUUCAACUGAUGAUACCCUGAUCGAAGAUCGAUCUUAGAGAAUACCUUGGCUCCAACUAGCUGAUCAAACAAGUCAUUGAUCAUGGGCAGGGGGUACUUGUUCUUGAUGGUUACUUCGUUCAAUGCACGAUAAUCCACAACCAUCCUCAAGCUUCCAUCCUUCUUCUCUACCAAAAGAAAUGGGGCUCCCCAAGGUGAUGAGCUUGGACGAAUAUAUCCUUUCUCUAAUAACUCAUUUAUUUGAUCCUUGAUCUCUUUCAACUCAUUCAGUGGCAUCCGAUAAGGUCUCUUGGAUAUUGGGGCUGUGCCGGGCAAUAACUCAAUCAGAAAUUCAAUGUCCCUGUCCGGUGGCAUUCCUGGUAAUUCCUCCGGGAACACAUCGGGAAAUUCUUGCACUACUGGCACUUCCUCCUGAACAACUCCCGUGAGGGAAUGCACCUGAUUCUUCAUCUGGCUGUGCCUGGCUACAUACUUGAUCCUCUUCUGCUCCGGGGUGGUGAGCAGAAUAGACUUGCGGGCACAGUCAAUGUUCCCUUCAAACUUUGACAGCCAAUCCAUGCCUAGGAUUACAUCCAAGGUCUGGGUUUCCAACACUAUGAGGUCCACGGGAAAUUUGUGGUUCCCGAUAUUGAGGGUUGCAGGACAGCCUACACCUGCCAUCAUUUCUCCUCCUGCGGAACUGACGCGAAGGGGGCUUCUAAGGGUUCUAGUGCGCAACCCGUACUUUUCCACAACUACCCUUGAUAUGAAUGAAUGCGUUGCACCAGAAUCAAAGAGAACCAAAACUGAACGUGAAUUCAAUAAAAACUUACCAACCACAGUGUCUGGCUGAUCAUAGACGUCCUCCACGUCGAUGUGGUUCACCUGAGCACGAGGGAACGGAUUUGGCUUCUUCACUGAGCCUCCAUUGCCAUUGCCAUUCCUCUGCUUGGCCUCCGGGCAGUCGGUGGCAUAGUGCCCUGUCUUCUGGCACUUGAAGCAGGUGAUGUGGCUCAGAUCCUUCGGAGCCGGGGCAGAACGGUGCUGAUUGCCAUUACCAUUUCCAUUGCCAUUGCCAUGGCCUGACUUGUUGUCCUGGCUGCGGUUGUUCCCAUUUCCUCCAUGGUUAUGACCUCCAUGGUUAUGAUGGGUGUGCCCUCCUGAGUACGGUGCAUAACGGGGCUUCUGCUGAGCUCCUGAGUUGUGCUUCCCCUGGCUGUACUUCCGCUUGCGGCUUUCUAUCUGCUGCUGCUUGCCUUCAAGAAUGGUGGCCUUGUCUACCAGCUCCUGGUAGUUGUUGAAGGUAGCCACAAUAAGCUGCAUGCUCAGUUCAUCAUUGAGUCCCUCAAGGAACUUCUCCUGCUUGGCGGCAUCUGUGGCCACAUCAUCAGGGGCAUAGCGAGCGAGCUUGCUAAAUUCAUCCACGUACUGUGCCACAGUACGGUUCCCCUGGCGUAAGUUGCGGAACUCACGCUUCUUCAGACUCAUGGCUCCAGCUGAGACAUGAGCGGUGCGGAAGGCCUGCUGGAAUUGGUCCCAAGUGAUGGCACCAAUGGGAAAAGUGGCGGUGUAAUUCUCCCACCAAGAAGCUGCAGGUCCAUCCAGUUGAUGCGCGGCAAAGCGCACCUUCUCAGCAUCAGUGCAUCCAACGGUGACUAGCUCUCUUCCGAUCUUGCGGAGCCAAUCAUCGGCCACAAUCGGCUCAGUGCUACUAGAGAACACUGGCGGAUUCAACCUCAGAAAUCGAGUCAAGUUGUCCACAGUGGGUGGUGGCGGUGGCGGUGGAUUGUUGGCGGUGUUGUUCUGAUUCUGAAUAAGGAGCUGCAUCAGUGCAUUCUGCUAUUGGAGCAGCUGGGUGAGCUCCGGCGGGAAACCAGUGUCACGUCUCGGAGGCAUCUGGUGUUUUGGAGGGGAUGAGAAGUUUAGAAUAGAACAAUGGUCUAUGAGAAAUACACUACCCAUAUGAAUGCGCAAUCAUAACACACCAAUCAUUUAUUCAUUCCAUUCAAACAUGGUUCAAACUCGAUUACAAUAGCUCAUGACUAAUCGAAGGGAAAACAUCGGCCUAACUGAUCGACGAAAAAGUAAAAGAUAACAUGGUGGUCGACUAAAAAGUCUUCAUCAGUGGCGCCUCCUCUUGGGGUUUCCUUCAGUGGUACUCCCUUCGAAAUCCUGAUCAUUGCUCACGAGGGGUGCUUCAUCUCCACUCGGGUAAAGGUCCUCUCCCAAGUCCAUCUUUUCCUCUAUCGCGGCAAGCUUCAUCUUCAGAUCGUCGACUAUCUCCAUGAAGUCCGUGAUUUCUUCCUCAUGGCCAAGGAAGUCUGCGCGUGCCUUCUCCUCCAGUUCCAGUUCGCGGAACAAAAGCUUCCGGUGUGUCUUCGAGUUACGGCGAGUCUGAAUCUCCCGUUUCCUGAGAAGACACUCCAAGUCCUGGAUGUACGAGAGAGUGGAAUCGUCCUCAAUGGUACGGAUGAUAUCUCCAUUCCUUGCCCUGCGAGAAACCAUGGCGAGGUCUGAGUGAUCGAGCUCGGCCAUGUACUCCUCUCGGAGAUGUCCAAGUGCUCGAUAGAUCGCCACAUCCCUUCCGAUGAUCCAGUUGAACUCGGUGAACUCAAAGUUGAUAGGCUCCGUGUGUCCUCCAAAGGUUCUCCCUGGGAUAUGCACUUCAAUCCUGUAUCGGGUGUCCGUUGGAAGUGCAUUAGUGGGCUUCCCGGUGAUCGAGGGUAGAGCUAUCUUCAGCUGCUUCACCAUCUGGACCAGCUUUCUUCCGAAGGGCAUCGUCUCAUCGGGCUGGCAGAACUCCGAUAGCAAAACUGGGGUGAACUCGGCGGCCAUCUAGAAUGUUGCAAAGGGGAGAAGAGUCAGAAUUGAACAGGGGAGAAUUAUGGAAUGAAAAGGAUGAAAGUAAAUGGUCUCUGCUUAUGGCUUUCCGAUCCUAGGGGUUACGAUCCUACGGUCAGCGUGUGCUCUGAUACCAUCUCUGUAGCGACCUGACCCAAAAUCGGUCAAAUCUCUGUGUCUGUACCAUCCCAAGAUCAUGCUGGUACUCACAAUACAUCGAUAAAGUAAUCAAAGUUCAAUCACACCUGAAUAUCAUUAAACGAUUCUCAUAUAGAGUCUUUAUUACAAGGGAAUAAAUUCGGCUCAAGGCCAACUCAUGAGAAAUAAACUACAAAUGCUGCGGAAGCGUCGAAGGUAAGCGAGUCCAUCCGACUCCAAAGGGCAAUCGCCAAGCGCGGAGCGUAGCCUCACUCCUGAUCGGAAUAUAUCUCUGCAACAUAAUACGUUGCAGCCAUGUAGGUCAGCUUUUGGAAUAAGCUGGCAAGUCAUGAAGAAUAACAAUAAUAAAGUUACUAACUCUAUAUGCAUUUUGGCUGUGGAGCUCUAAGUUUCAUCAUUUUGCGAAAAGCAAAUUUUAUCCUACUACAGUGGACUUGCUUGCAAAUUACUACAAUUGUUGGUAGUUAUUGAGAUGGUUCCGCCAACCAAUAUCUCGUUCCCAAUUAUUAAGUCAUAUAAACCCUCAAAUUUAUUCAUUUGUUUUAGUGUUGAGAUAUCCGAAUACUUCCAAGUUCCAGAGGCUCAAAUGUCCGUAACCGGGGACACGGCUAAUCGAUUAGAUCUUUAACUCUGCAGAGGGUUGCGCACUUUCCCCGCAAGAAUCAUUCCCUCCUUUAAAGUCUUCGCACUUCAAGGUGUUUGAAGACGGGACGAAUGAAACAGGGUCUUCCAAAGAGUUCUUCUGGCCACUGCCGGUACCCAUCCAAUCCUACCGUUCGUCUACUUCUCGUAGUACCGUCCAGCCAGCGUCACUACUAGGGUCAACCCAGCCAGAGCCCAUAGUGGCUUGCGGCUGCACAGGUAAGCUUCCGGUCAUGGGGCAUCCAUCCUUCUCUUUGUGGCUGGGUGAAGCUUUCCGCAGGAUGUCAUGGCGCUUCUCCAUGCAUCCCGGCCACCACUGGGUGCUCCAGGGUGCCCGUCAACCGUCCUCCACCCAGUAGUGAUUUUCCGAAGUCCAUCUUGAUCAUUGUAGUCCAUGGGGUUGUCAUCAUCAUUGACUCUCACAUCUUGCUUAUGAAUUUCACUCAUCCCAAAUCCCGUCUACGAGCAUAGCAAAAUAACUACUACAUCCCGGGGUCAUGGUAAUAAGGGGGUUGGUUCAUCCUACCACAUGAUACUACUCAAGUUUAAUGACUUCAAGAUUUCACUACUGCAUGCAUGGUGGGGUGGUGACAACUACUAAUGCACAAAACAUAGGUAUAGAAAUAACAUGAUCAAAACUUGCCUUGCUGUUGAUCCUCGUAAGCUAAAGAGUCGUAGUAGCAAGCUUCGCACUCCGGAAACUCUACCGAGACAAACAAUAGCACAAUAAGCACAAAGCAAUAGGAUCACACAACAUAACAAAAGUAACAUAACACAACAAAACAAUCAAAACCAAAUCCAAAAGGAAAACUCAAAGAAACCAAUUCAAGUUUUUCCCUACCCCAAACAAUAACUAAAAUAGUUUUUAUAUAACAAAAAUUCCUUAAUAUAACCUAAUCAUGGUUUUAAGUUAACUUAACAGAAAAGGUUUCACUAAGCAACUAGGAGCAAAAAGAAUUAAUUAAAAAGCUAUUAUAAAACUCAUUUUAGGCCUAAUCCAAUUUCUAUUAAGAAAAAUAAUUUAAAACUUUUAUUAAUUAUAAAUAAAAGUUCAUCUACUAAAGUGACAGAAACUAACCUAGAAUAACUAAUCACAAGUUAAAAACAAAUUCAUUUACUAAUUUAAACAUUAGGAAAACAGGAACUAGUUAAUUAAUUAGGUUUAAUAGGAUUCUGUCUAAAACUAAUUAUUUAUUAAUCCUAAAAUACCCAAGUUAAUUUCUAGGGUUUGGCAAUGUCAAAAUAAAGUGGUGACAAAAAAGAAUCAUGCAAAAAUAAUUUUUCUAACUAAAGUUAUAGCAGAUUUACUAUUCUGACCAAAACUAAAAUAAAGCAAUUUUAAUUAUUUUUAACAUAGCUAAAUAUAUAUUCUACAGAAACUACAUAAAAUUUGCAAUACAACAAAAAAAGAAUCAUCUAAAAAUAUUAAACAGAAUAAAAGAUAUAAAUUUUUGAAAACAGAAACUAUUCGGCUAAAACAGAAAAUCAAAAUAAAAGAAAAAGGCCAGGGGGUCGGGCGGCUUCGGGGGGUCGAUCGGGGGCGAUCGGGGAUCCCGGAUUCUUCGGGAUCCGGCGAUCCUCCGGCGAGUGGCGUUGCGUGGGCGAGGGGGGAAGAAGAGGGGGCGGGGCCCACGGGUCAGAGAGAGAGAGGGAGGGGUGAGGCGAGCGGUCGACCGAAGCCUAGGGGAUUCGGGCGAGGGGCGAGGCCGGUCGGGCGCUGGGCUGGCCUGUUGGCCUAGUGGGCCGGCUGGCUUGGGCCAGGCGCGGGGUGCGGCGCUGGCUGGGCCUGGGGUGGCCGGGCUGGCGCCCCGGGGGGGUUUUUCUUUAUUUUUUUAAAUAAAACAAAAACAAAAAUAAAACAAUAUCUAUAAAUAUUUUAUAUAGGGUAUAUAUAUACCAAAAUGAUCAGGGGAAUAUUCCCUUUCAUUUGAACAUUUUUCCAAAGGCAAAAUCCAAACUUCAUAAAAAUCUAUUUUUUUUCAAAUUCAAAUAAAAUUCAGAUUUGAAUUCCAAAACUUUUGGCAUUGUUUCCUCUGAUAUUUUUGGAGUGUCAUGUUUGCUCCUCUCAUACUUUUGAUCAAGUAUUUAUCAGACUUAGUUUUUUUUGAAAUGAUUCCCACAUGCCAAAGUUUGAAAUUCAAAUUCAAAACUCAAAAUUCUCUGAAACUUCAAAUGGCAUUCAAAUUCAAACAGGAUGCAUAGGAUGCUUAGCUAUAAUUGUAAAACAUUCCAAAUAGGAAAUUUGGGAUGUUACAUCUAUUGCUUCUACGACUAUCGCUACCGCUUAGUGAUAAAGUAAAGCAAUUACAGGGCGUUUGCAUUUCAUACAAUAAAGCGACAACCAUAUGGCUCCAGCCAGUUGCCGAUAACUUCGGUUACAAAACAUGAUCAUCUCAUACAAUAAAAUAUAGCAUCACGUCUUGACCAUAUCACAUCACAACAUGCCCUGCAAAAACAAGUUAGACGUCCUCUACUUUGUUGUUGCAAAUUUUACGUGGCUGCUACGGGCUUAAGCAAGAACCAAUCUCACCUACGCAUCAAAACCACAACGAUACUUCGUCAAAUAGACUCCGUUUUAACCUUCUCAAGGACCGGGCGUAGCCACACUCGGUUCAACUAAAGUGAGAGAGACAGACACCCGCCAGCCACCUUUAAGCACGAGUGCUCGUAACGGUGAAACCAGUCUCGCGUAAGCGUACGCGUAAUCUCGGUCCGGGCCGCUUCAUCUCACAAUACCGCUGAACCAAAGUAUGACAUGCUGGUAGGCAGUAUGACUUGUAUCGCCCACAACUCACUUGUGUUCUACUCGUGCAAAACAUCAAACCAUAAAAACCUAGGCUCGGAUGCCACUGUUGGGGAACGUAGUAAUUUCAAAAUUUUCCUACGCACACGCAAGAUCAUGGUGAUGCAUAGCAACGAGAGGGGAGAGUGUUGUCUACGUACCCUCGUAGACCGAAGCGGAAGCGAUCACAACGUAGAGGAAGUAGUCGUACAUUCUCCUCGCGAUCCAACCGAUCCCAGCGCCGUUACUCCGGCGCCUCCGAGUUCUUGACACACGUACAGCUCGGUGACGCUCCUCGGGCUCCGAUCCAGCAAAGCUCCGGGGAGAGAGAGUUCCGUCAGCACGACGGCGUGGUGACGAUCUUGAUGUUCUACCGACGCAGGGCUUCGCCUAAGCACCGCUACGGUAUGACCGAGGUGGAAUAUGGUGGAGGGGGGCACCGCACACGGCUAAGGAACGAUCUCAAGGAUCAACUUGUGUGUUCUAGGGUGCCCCCUGCCCCCGUAUAUAAAGGAGCCAAGGGGGAGGGGGCCGGCCGGCCAAGAGGAGGCGCGCCAGGGAGUCCUACUCCCUCCGGGAGUAGGAUUCCCCCUCCAAUCCUAGUUGGAAUAGGAUUCACCGGAGGGGGGAAGAGAGAGAGGGGGCCGGCCCACCUUUCCUAGUCCUAGUAGGACUAGGGGAAGGGGGGAGGCGCGCGGCCACCUAGGGCUGGUCCUUUCUCCUUUCCACCAAGGCCCACUAUGGCCCAUAUAGUUCCCGGGGGGUUCCGGUAACCUCCCGGUACUCCGGUAAAUUCCCGAUUUCACUCGGAACAUUUCCGAUGUCCAAAUGUAGGCUUCCAAUAUAUCAAUCUUUAUGUCUCGACCAUUUCGAGACUCCUCGUCAUGUCCGUGAUCACAUCCGGGACUCCGAACUCCUUCGGUACAUCAAAAUACACAAACUCAUAAUAUAACCGUCAUCGAAACCUUAAGCGUGCGGACCCUACGGUUCGAGAACAAUGUAGACAUGACCGAGACACGUCUCUGGUCAAUAACCAAUAGCGGAACCUGGAUGCCCAUAUUGGUUCCUACAUAUUCUACGAAGAUCUUUAUCGGUCAGACCGCAUAACAACAUACGUUGUUCCCUUUGUCAUCGGUAUGUUACUUGCCCGAGAUUCGAUCAUCGGUAUCCAAUACCUAGUUCAAUCUCGUUACCGGCAAGUCUCUUUACUCGUUCCGUAAUACAUCAUCUCACAGCUAACUCAUUAGUUGUUAUGCUUGCAAGGCUUAGUGAUGUGCAUUACCGAGAGGGCCCAGAGAUACCUCUCCGACAAUUGGAGUGACAAAUCUAAUCUCGAAAUACGCCAACCCAACAUCUGCCUUUGGAGACACCUGUAGUACUCCUUUAUAAUCACCCAAUUACGUUGUGACGUUUGGUAGUACCCAAAGUGUUCCUCCGGUAAACGGGAGUUGCAUAAUCUCAUAGUUAUAGGAACAUGUAUAAGUCAUGGAUAAAAGCAAUAGCAACAUACUAAACGAUCGGGUGCUAAGCUAAUGGAAUGGGUCAUGUCAAUCAGAUCAUUCAACUAAUGAUGUGACCUUGUUAAUCAAAUGACAACUCCUUUGUCUAUGGUUAGGAAACUUAACCAUCUUUGAUUAACAAGCUAGUCUAGUAGAGGCAUACUAGUGACACUCUUGUUUGUCUAUGUAUUCACACAUGUAUUAUGUUUCCGGUUAAUACAAUUCUAGCAUGAAUAAUAAACAUUUAUCAUGAAAUAAGGAAAUAAAUAAUAACUUUAUUAUUGCCUCUAGG
rnacentral:lncRNA from 1 species